rnacentral:lncRNA from 1 species
ACAAAGUAAGCUUCUCCACAUUGCAAAAUAGCUCCUUGAAUGCAUUUAAUGAGGAUGAGAAAUCCUUAAUUCUCAAGGUUCUCAAGCUCAGCCCCUCCAAAACUUCGAUACCUUCAUAAUAUUCACUUACAGCUAUAUUGUAGCUUUGUAGUUUAGGGAACACAAAGUUUUCUUGAGAACAUUGAUUAGUAGAAACUGUCAGUGCUAAUCCAGUCAAACCAGUCAAUGAAUUCAGCUCCAAUAAGUUAGCAUUGUUAUCACUUGUCAUGUGUAGCUCUUGGAGUGAGGUCAACCUGUUACAAACAAACACAAAAUGUAAUUAAUGCAAUAAUAGCACUUUCAACCGAAUGAUAAAAAUAGCAAGGUAAUGAAAUGAAUAAGAUAACAUAAACUUUUUUAUUUCUUCAUUCUUAAAGCUACUUUUGUACUACGGGUUGCAAUGUUUCAUAAUAAUAGCAGUGACCAAAAGCUCAUGCUAGAUAUAUAUAUGUUUGUGAUAGUCAAAUCAAAUAAAGUAAAUAAUAGAGAAAAAAGAUAAAAUAAAUUAUAUAAAAUUAAAUAACUGAAAACAAUAAGAUAAACAGUUUUACCUUGGUAGCAAGUUAGGGGGGAAAUAACAGUAUGGCCCUUCAUCGUAAGAAAAAUAUAGUGAUUUUAGUUUAUGCAAUCCCACUAAUUCUUCUGGUAGCUCAUAAAUAUUAGUCUCCAGCAAUGCAAAAAUCUCAAGGUUUUCCAGAUUCCUCAAUGAUGAGAUGUUCUCAAGCUCACAAUUUAUAAUGCACAGAGUUCGAAGGUUUGUCAAGAAUUGAAGUGCUUUGAGUGCGAGUACCACAUCUUGAAGAAGUAAAACUUGGAGGGUUGUCAUUCUUUCAAAAAAUGCACACGAAACUCUCAGUGAAUUGUUUCCUGUGAGAAACAAAGUCUUGAGUUUUGAAAAUUUCACUUUGUUAGGAAGAUGAUUGAUCUCAAUGUUCCAUAAGGAGAUUGCCGUAUAACAUCCAAACCUUUCACUCAUAGGCCAUUCCGUCAACCAAUCUUUUACCAUGAAUAUGUUUUCCCCUCUCGAUGUUAUCCAAUGAGCAAAAUCACGAACCACAUCAUGCAUUUUUAUAUGUUCUUUAUCAUUAGCUUCCAAUAAUAAACCAGACUUUUGGAGUUUUGACAGUGCUAGAUGAAUUUCCCUCCUUAAGUCUUCCAUGAAGUAAUUAUUAUUAAACAAUCCCUGACCAAUUCCACAUAUAGUCAACAAUUCAAUACUAAUCUCAUAAUCUUCCGGAAAAAGGGCACACAACAAGAAACAUUGCUUGAUAUUAUCUUGAUCCAAAUAAUCAUAACUAAGCUCAAGGCAUGUAUAAAUACCUCCACAAACAUGUUGAUUAUCCAAAUGCCUUGAGCUCUUGAGUCGUUUAUUUGCUGCUAUCCACGCAUCUAGACUUUCACCUUUUAGAGCCUUUGCCACAGUUACAAUUGCAAGAGGCAAACAGCCACAUUCAGGAGCAACCUCCUUCGCUACAUUCAAGGUGGGAGAGUCAUCUUUCAGACCAGCUUUGUCUUUGAAUAAAACCCAUGCUUCAUGUUCAGAUAAAAUGUUCAGCUUAAAUUCCUCUUCACAAUCCAUUUUACAACAAACUUGUUGAUCACGUGUAGUUAAAAGAAUUUUGCAACCCUCGUGUUCACCACCGAAUGGAAUUCCUAUAAUUUGCAAUUCAAGUUCUUUCCAAACAUCAUCGAGAAUUAUGAGAAUCUUCUUCUCACUUUUUAAUCUCCGCCAUAACUCUUCUGCUUUUCCUUUUUCUGUACUUGCUUUAAAGUUAAAAUGUAAGAUUUCGGCAAUUCUGUCUUGAAUUUUGUUGAAGUUCGGAGUUUGGGACACUGUAACAAUCACAACUUUAUCAAAGAGCUUUUGUUCCGUAGCUUGCUUCCCCACUACUUCCGCCAAAGUUGUUUUACCCACUCCUGGCAUUCCAUGCAAUCCAAUCAUGUUCACACCAUCACUUUUUAAAGCCUCCAUAAUCCCACUGAAAGCUAACAUUGAAGAUUCGGAACGCAUGAAAUCCUUGGGUACUAUGAACUCUAUUCCUUGAAGAGGAGGACGCUGGCCGACUCGUGAAAAGUUACAAGUCUCUAAAAGCUUAGAGAUAUCAAGUGUCUUCUUCUCUACUUCCUUACUUAAAGAGGAUCUCCAGCUCAUACCAGACAGCCAUUUGGAACGCUUGUUACUUUCUAUUUUAUCUGACAAAUUCUGCACAUCUUUCAGUUCUUGUCUUGCCUUCGUUAGCCAUUCCUCAACGUCAUGAUUAAUUACCUCAGUUUGCCUUUCGGCUUCAUUCACGUCAUUCUGUACCUUAUCGAUUGCAAGUAUAAGUUGUUCCCUCUUUGCAUUGAAAUCUUCAAUAAUUUCAUCAAAACCGAAAAUAGGUUUUCCCAAUUUCCCUGCCAAUUUUUUCAGAGCAUUUGUAGUGAUAUUGGCAGCGACAUUGGAAAACACAGAGGUUGCAAAUUCAGCAGGACUGGUUUCCUUAGUAUCCAUUCACUGAUUAUCUGAGGUUGAAGAACAGGUUUGUUUGAGCAAAAGUAGUAACAGAGAGACAAAAGAAAUUAUUAAAAAUUUCAUUUUGUAAUAUAUAAAAGUAAAAAAAAAAUCAAAAAAAGAAAGAAAAUUGCAAAAAUCAACUUCUACAAAGCUAUAUUGGAAGCUAUGUUCUUUAGUUAUUAAAUAUUAAUGCAUUACAAAAUUGACUAAUAAUGACAAAAUUUCAUAGUUGAAAAUUUGCAGUGGAUUUGGUUGACUAAUAACUACUACUAAUUAUUAAGAAACUGUUUCCCCUAAACCCAAGAGAUCAGCUCACAGAAAAAUAAAAUAAAAUGCAAAUAUCUGUCAAGCUAAGAUGAAAAGAAUAGCUUAAUUUGAAAAUAGAAAAUAUCAGCCAAAGCAUCUGAACUCGAAAAUAUAUACUCAACUGUAAAACCAAGAAGAGGAUGAAGAUUUACAUACCAAGGAAAUAUAUGUGAACUUUGAGGAGCCAAGACAGAGCUUCAUAUAUUUCAGACACUAACAAAGUCGGUGAAGGUUUUUUUUUUCUUUUUUUUUUUGACAAAUAAAUUAUUUAUACUCAUAAGGACAUAUUUACGAAAUAAUAGUGACUAAAUUUCAUAGUUGAAAUUUGUCAGUGGAUUUGCUUAACUACUAGUAGGAAUCAGUUUUCUUGUGGAUUCCAAAUAGUAAAGUACCGAAAAAUCAAAUAUCUACUCAAAUGUAAAAUCAAGACAACUAAACCGCCAAAGAGACAGAUGAAAAUUUACAUACCAAGGAAAUCUAUAGAUGAACUCAGGGGAGCCAAGACGGGCUUCUGUUUUGAUCCAGGCAAUCUCACAAGGUCGUUGAAGUUUUUUUCUUUGUUUUUUUAUUUUUUUUUGUGUUCAAAGAAAACUGAAGUUGAAAUAAACUUUGCACUGCAAUGAUGAGAAGGCCAAGGAAUUAAUAAAUAACAGACUUACACUUGUCUUCUUUUUAAUGCGUAUAGAUAAUUCUGCUUCUGGAAGGUACUGAAAUCCUUUCUUGAAACUUACCACUCUGUUCUCACUACUUGAAUGUGAAAGGGUAAGAGACAAAUACAAGUUUCUAGCUCUCUGCUUCACACAAAUGCCAUGAGUGGAUUGUAACUGUAGACGAUCAAAACUGUUAAUUUGGCCACACAAAAUAAUUCAGUGCCAAUUUUGCAUGUAAAGAUUGCAGAUGUAUUCUCAAAUGCAUAAACCAUAGAAGAAAAUGAUGCACAUAUAUACCAAGGAAACAUGAAGUUUGAGGACCCAAGGCCAAGCUUUUCUCUAUUGAUCAAAGAAAACUCAAGUAGAAAUCAAGUUUGCACUAUAAUAACCAAAAGCCCACUAGCAGAGGGAAUUAAUAAACAACAAAUAUCUGUCAAUCUAAGAUCAAAAGAACAACUUAAUUUGAAAAUAGAAAACAUGUGUCAAAGCAUCUAAACUUGCAAAUAUCUAUACUCAAAUGUAAAACCACAGAAGAAGAGGAUGAACAUUUACAUACCAAAGGAGUAAUACAUGAACUUUAAGGGGCCAUGACAGAGCUUCUAUUUUGAUCCAGCCAAAAUAUAUUACAGAAACUGACAAAGUCGGUGAAGGGUUUUUUUUUUCUUUUUUUGAGUUCAAAGAAAACUGAAGUUGAUAUAAUAAACUUUGCACUGCAAUGAUCGGAAGGCCAGGAAAUUAAAACAACAAAAAGACUUUCACUUAUAAUUCUGUUUCUGAUAACAAAAACAGUAGUUGAACAUAGAAAGUAGAAACUCUUAAGGCAAAGACUUGUUUUCUUUGGAGUCGUGGAGAUACUCUGCUGGUUGGCUUUCCAGGAAGUGUUAUUGGAACAGACCACCUUCAACUUGCAUAUUGAUGUUAUUGGAACAAAGUGGAAACUUUAAAAAACGGGUGAGCAUUAUGGUAAGUCUAACCUUAUUGUAUGGUCAAUAAAUAUAAUUAAAAAAAAUAAUAAAAAUUUGUUUGAUAGUUUAACAAGUAAACUAUAUACUUAAUUUUUAAGCAUAUCCAUUUUAUUUUAUGUUAAUAACAUAGAUCAUUUUUAAAUUUAUUUAUUUUUUAAAUAUCAUUUAAUUUUAAUUUUAUUUUUAUCUUAAAAUAUAUGAAUAUUUUUAUUUUUAAUAAUAACAUUAUUUCUAAAUAAUUUAAUUCAAUCAAAAUUUUUUUUUUUCUCAAUUAAGCUUGUUAUCAUGGUAGGUUACGUUAAAUCUUACAUAGUUACAUCAAUAUUUAAACAAUUUUUGUUCCACUUUUAUGAUUUUUUAUGUUAAUUCUUAUAUAUUUGCGUUAAGAUUUUUUAAUUGUUAAUUUUUACUAUAAUUAUUUUUAUCCUUAUUAUUAUUCAUUUAUAAAUUAAAAUUUAAAUAUUUAAUUUUUAUAAAUAUUAUAUUUAUUUUAACUUAAUUGAUUUAUUUUGUUAAAUUUUAUAUAUUUAUAUUAAUAUUUUAAUAACAAUUAUUCCACUUGCAUAAUUUUUUACUUUAAUUUUUAUAGAUUUACGUCAUACCUUUUCCUUUUUUUUUUAAUUGAACAUAUUGUCUCCUAUGAUUUCAAUAUAUUGAAUCUGUAUAAAUCACUAGUUGCAAACAAAAAAAAAAAAAGAUCUCCAAGCUUUCUUUUUUCUUUUUUCCUUUUCCUAAAUUUGGAACAAUAGAGAGUCGACUCCUAAUUCUUUGAACAACAGCUACAUAGAUCAAUUACUGAGUGUCUAAGUCAAAUGCUUGGGUGCAUCCACAAACUUCUGUUGAAUUACUUUAAUAAAACUUAAGUUAAUUUCUCUAAAAAUUUACCAUGAUUCAAACGUAAGUUCACACCUUCUAUUUAUAUUAAUUUCUUUAAUAUAACCUUUUAUUACGUAAGUUCAGACUUUCACUUAUCUUCUUUGGAAUGCAUGCAGAUUAUAAUUCUGCUUCUGAUAACAAAAACUGUAAUUGAAUAUAGAAAGUAGAAACUCUAAGGCAAAUUAAGACUUCUUUUCUUUUGAAUCUCUUUUUCUUUUUAUUGUUACUAAUUUUUCUUAUUCAUAUCCUUAGUGAAUGACAAGGGCCCCAACAUCUUAUGCCUUAUCAUUGACCAAUUCUCUCACAAAAAGACUGGAAAAAAAAAAGUAAAGAAUGGAGUCAUGAAAACUCUCUGCUAAGGACACUGGUUUUUUUUUUUCUUAUAAUUGGGGAGGGGGGAUUCGAACUUUACUUUUUAAGUAGGGAGAUUACACACCAACUAAUAAAUCAAAUGUUCGGGUGCAGCUGAGGACCUUGGUUACCUUCCAGGAAGUUUUAUGAAAACUAGAGGAUGGGCUUGCGAGGAUGUCAAUGUAUAGAAAAUUUUUGAAAUUCUGCUUCAAAUUCAUUGAAUGAAUAUAUUAAAAUGAAAAGCCAUAAACUUAUAUGUAUUAUAUGUGUGAAACUGAUGGCUUUUCCGUCACAUUUAACAAUAAAUUGAAGUGGAUCAAACCUUAAGCAGCUGAUUUUUGAAAAAGCAUUUGGUUAAUUCUCACUCAAAGACAAAAUAUUGAUGAAAGUCUAAUUAAUGCAAAAUUGACUUCAUCAGAAAAUCAUGCCUCCUCGUGGUUAAUUAAUGUAUCUGUCUGAUUAUUUCAUUGGGAGGGUAAAAUAAAAUGAAUGCCUCUUCUCCCGUCCUUCUCCUCUUCCCUAAAGAACAUGUGACAGUGGGUCCGCACUUUGAAUAUUGUGUGUAAUAGGGAAGAAAGAGGUUUGGUCAGUCGUCACCUAAUUCAUUAUCUCUGCUCUAAAGUUAACAAAGAAAUAUUAAUUUGGAAUUAGGACUCUUCUUAGCUCUUGCUUUCGAAAGAAUUAAGUCUAACACGAAAAUCUUAUUUAUCAAAGUAAAAGGGAGAUUCUUGGAAUUUUCCCAGAUAUUUUUGAUUCAUGGUGGAAUAUUUACGCCACAAAAUUUUUGAUUCUUGGAAUUUACUUUUAUUCUAAGGAUAAUUAAGUUCAUACCUUUCAUUUUUUCUUUGUGUAUAUAUGCAAAUGAGACACAAAAUUAUUGGUGGAAUUUUGAAUUAUUGAUGCCUUUCUUUUUGUCGUUUUUCAUUUAUUUUUCAGUAUUAAUAUCUGAUCUACUUGGUUAGUUUACAUGAAAAACACUUGACUCUCCUUUUAAAUAGAAACUACUAUUAUUAUCUCGUAAGUGUCUUUAAGAGUUAUCACUUUACCCUAAUUUAUAUUUCUGUAGCAAUUAAGCAUUACUUGGUAAAUUAUCUUCUAGAAAUGGGUAACGACCUACAUUUAGAAGCAUUUUGUGAACUUUUGCGGUGCUAAAUCAUCAUGGACAAAUUUUAGUGAACAAAAGAUUCUUCCCGCAGCAGCUUUCUAAUAAAUUCUUAUACAUGAUGUAAUCAUGAGUGUUGUUUCUUGAGCCGGAAAUGACUUUAUUUAUAGGGAUGAAUAGAAUAUAACAUAUCCAACUUUGAUAUUCAAAUAAUAGAACAAAGUCAAGACAAGAUAAGUGUUUUGCUUAAGAAAAAGAAGAAUAAAGGAAAGGAAGACAGAUAGGCCAAUUUGGAUUUAGUUGACUUAUAGUUACGAUGACUUGCACUCAAUCCUAUAGAUGGGCCAAAGAAAUUGAAUUACUUCAAUGAAGCAUAGAUUUCCCCUAAAUAAAAUUUACUUUUAUUCUAAGGAUAAUUAAGUUCAGACCUUUCAUUUUUUCUUUGUGUAUAUACGCAAAUGAGACACGAAAUCAUUGGUGGAAUUUGAAUUAUUGAUGCCUUUCUUUUUGUCAUUUUUAAUUUUUUUUUCAGCAUUAGUUUCUGACCUACUUGAUUGGUUUACACAGAAAACACUUGACUUUCCUUUUAAAUAGAAACUACUAUUAUUAUCUUGUAAAUGUCCUUAAGAGUUAUCACUUUUCCCCUGUUUAUAUUUCUUUAGCAAUUAAGCAUUACUUGGUAAAUUUUCUUCUAGAAAUGAGUAAGGACCUACAUUUAGAUGCAUUUUGUGAACUUGUUGUGGGGCUAAAUCAUCGUGGACAAAUUUUAGUGAACGAAAGAUUCUUCCUGCAGCAGCUUUCUAACAUAUUCUUAUACACGGUGUAAUGAUGAGUGUUGUUUCAUGGGCUGGUAAUCGCUUUAUUUAUGGGAAUGGAUAGAAAAAGAUAUGCGUUUUGCUUAAGAAAAAGAAGAAUAAAGGAAAGGCAGACAGAUAGGCCAAUUUGAAUUUGGUUGACUUAUAGUUAUGAUGACUUAUACUCGAUCCGAUAGAUGGGCCAAAGAAAAAAAGGGAGAAAAGGAUGGAGUUCAUGGAAAUGCUCUCGUAAGGACCCUGGUUGGCUUUCCAGGAAGUGUUAUGGCAAGAGGAUGGGACUUGCGAGGAUGUAAAUGUAUAGGAAAUUUUCCAACUGACCACAAUUGUUGAAAGUCUGCUUCAAAUCUCUGAGUGUUCUUUUUCUUUUUUUGUGCUCCUACGAAUUUAGAAGAAAAUCGAUACAUUAUUAUGAAGACUUCCUUGUUUAAUGUAGUCAUCAGUUUCACAAUUAGUUCAAUCUUUUUUACUGAAGCAUAUUUAUAGUAUAUUGUCCUUGUUUAAUAUACUUGUAUAAGGAUUAGUAUAAUUUAUGAAGGGAGCCUUGUGAUGAAUGGUGGUAGUUUAUCUGACCGCCUUCUGAUGCAUCUUUCUUUAUCAUGAAGGGAGCCUUCACAACCAAAUAAAGUGGGACAAAAAGAACAAGCAUUAUUAAUUUUAUGUUAACAAGUAGUAUAGCAUAUAACAAAUAAACAAAAAUCAGUGAUAGUACAGAGCACUGUUAUUUCUCUUCGUCCCCAAAUAGUUUCUCUAGUUCAGAAGCAACUUCUGCUGUGAUUAUUUAUAGUUUUGGCAGAGCAACACUAACUGGAAAGAGACUUUUCAGUUUAUUGCAGCCUCCAAUUCUGGUUUUAUUCAGUGCACAUAAACAUAGAGGUUGGAAUGAAUCCUUUGAUGAUGAUGAUCCAAUUCCAAGUGCAUGUAGAAAUGAUCCAAUCCCAUUUUAUAGUUCUUUUUACUAGAAUUUUCUUUUGAUAUAGAGUAAUCACUUAAUUUUUUAAAAUUCUUUUGGUGAACUUGUUGCAUGGCUAUACUACCAUGCCUAGAUCUUGUAGGUAGGAGUAGCAAUCAAACUUUUCAGUAUUUCAAUAAAUCACUCGAAAACUUCUCAAAAUAAAAAUCUGCCUGGUUUUAAUUUUUCAUGUCUUAAUUCCUACCUAACAUAUUUACACAACUUAUUCACCAAAAAUUUAAAAUACAAAAAAUAAGGAUAAGAAACAGAGAAAUUUCACUCUUGUUUUUCUACUUAUUGCACAUAUAGAGAGCAACAUAACAUUGAUUGGGUAAAUUAUUGAAUUCGAUUGAAAACUCCAUUAAGCAAACAUCUUUAACAGGUCAAAAAUUAUUUUUAAAAUUUUUGAUUUUGUAUAAUAUUUUAAAAAAUAAUGAUCAAAAUUGAGUUUAUUUUUAAUGAAAAAUAUCCAAUAGAUACAAACAAAAUGGGAUGGAGAUAGCAUGUAUUUGUAAUAAUAUUCGGUUCCGUUGAUGAAUAUUUUUGCUUUCUUUUCUUUUCUCUUUUUUGCAAAAAAAGAAUAGAAAGGAAAAGGAAAAAUAAAAAAAUAAAUAGCAAAAAAGAAGAGAUAAAAGUAUCAAACUGGUACGGAAUUUUAAAAAAUAGUCAUGUAAUAUGGAUAAUUAUGGAAAUAAAAUGUAUGCUAUGGUAAGAAAAGGAAAUUAAAUUGAACUUACUAAUUCUCUUGCUUUUGAGCCUUUUUUGUCUUUUGAUAGGGUUAGCUUUUUAGUCUCAUGGUUUAUGAUGCUACCAAUUUUUUUGAGUAGCAGAUCCGAUUUGGAAAUUGUACAGGAUCUCUUCACCCUCACCAGCAGUUUAUAUUAUGAGAGUCUUUUGCAAAUUAACUUGAGACUUGAAAUGACAUGUCAGGUGUUAAGAUAAAUAAAAUCCACUUUUCAAAAAAAAAAAAUCUAAUUCUAAGUGCAUGUAGAAAUGGUCCAAUCUCUUUUUAAAAUUCUUAUUGUAAGCAUUACUUGGUAAAAUUUUUUUCUAUCAAUGAGUAUUUACUUUAUUUUAAAUGCUUUUUAUGAACCUAUUGCCUGGCUAUACUACCAUGGUCAGAUCUUAUAAGUUGGAGUAACCAUCAAACUCUCAAUAUUUCAAUAAAUCACUUGAAACUUUUAUAAAAUAAAAAUCUACCUGCCUUGUAUAGGGAAAUUAAAGUUUAAUUUUCCAUGUCUUGAUUGCUGCAUAACAUAUUUGCAUAACCCUAAAUACAAAAAUAAAGAUAAGAAACAGAAGAAUUUCAAACUUGUUCUUCUGCUUAUUAUACAUAUAAAGAGUAACAUAACAUUGAUUGGGUAAAUUAAUGAAAGCAAGUGAUCCCUUCGCUUGACAACUCUAUGAAACCAACAUCCUGACCGACGAAAAGCACAAUAAUUUCAAGUAACUGUUUUUCUCUUCUUUUUUAUGUAAAUAAUAAAAGUUAGCACAAGUAAAUCACCAAAACUUGAUUAAGACUAGGCAAAUAGGUGAAAAAAAUGAAAAUGGAAAGCAACCUUUGCUUUACCAGUGUUUACUCAUUGAUGUUUAAAAAUACCUUUGCAACUUCCCCUGCAAUCAUCUCACCAUUCUUCCAUGUAAGGUGGCAGCUGAUAAUUAAUCCAACUUUCUCGGUACCAUUCUACGGUCUUGGUGUGGACUACAUUUUGAGCAGCGGCGGACCCUUCAGUGACGUCUUGCUUAACUAGUAGCGAUGCCUUUUUAAACAAUUGAAAAAGUGAAAUAUAAAAUAAAAGUAUUACUGCAGAAGGUAGGAAGGAACCAAAGUCAGCGUACCAGUUGGAACCCCAACCUGCCCCAGCGAAGCUUACGCCAGGUGGUUUGCCGACAGGGGUUACCAGCCCACCAUCACGGGGUACUCAGAGUGAAUCGUCAGGUGGACCGGGUUGCCCACUUAAUCAGAGCACAGGAGCCUGCAAAAACAAUAACCCACAAGGCAUGUCAAACUUGCCAUGGAAGUAAAACCUGCUUACAUUUUGUAGUCUUCAGCUAAUUGCGUGGUAGGCACGGGCUCUUGUGUUGUGUUAGUAUUCAUCAUAAGCAGGCAGGCUUCAGUUUGUAAUUUAAGCAUUGUGUAAGUGAAGUAGAAUUAUGCGUUAUCUUGUACUUUGUGACCCCGUUGCUAGAUAGCUAGAAAGGGCUACUUGGGCAGACGGCUGAGGGGAUGCUCUUUGCACUUGUAAGGUGAUGUUAGAAGUUUGAGAAAAGGGCCAUGCUCUUUGGUGUUUUAGACUGAGAUGGUGAGUUAGUUUGACUUCCUUGUCUUUGUUGUAGUUGCUUCUUUUGUUGCCCAUCAGAGUUAACUAGUGUAAUUUAUCUGUUUCUCCAUUCAUCAUUAUCAAGUUGAUAUUGAUGCUAGUUGAGCUCAGCUGGGUGUUUACUUAUAUGCGGACGAUGGGUGACGAUGCUUUCAAUGUUGAAUGCUAAUUUGCCACUAUUGAUCUCUCCACUCAGCUUUCGUAUGCAUUUCUGUAAGAGACAUCAUUAUUCCUAUAUCUGAUUGCCAUCCAACAUAAAAAAAAAAAAAAUCUCAUGUUAUGAGGGCAAAAGAAAAAAAUAUACAUAUUAUGAUUUAUAAGCAUUUUAAGCCAAAAUUCAUUCAAGUUGGAUUUAGAAAAUUUUUUUCUUUUAUUAAUUUUCGAUGAUUUAGAAAAGAGAGGUUUAGUAAUUUUCAAUAUUUGUGAAUUUUGGAAAGAUAAUGUUAAAAAAAUCAUUAGUAAAAUUAUGUUGCAAUUAGCUUUUACAUUUGUUUAAGAUAAUAAAUGCAUGCUGCCAAUAUAAAUGUUUUGUUAGGAAGUAACAGAAAAAAAUUAAGAAAAUACUUUGUGCUUUCCAUCAAUUUGUCAGCCUUGUCCAUCAAGUCCAAAACGGAAGCAAUGAGGGUGCGCAACUAGAGAACGGGGAAUGGACAGUGUGGGUUUCAAGAAGAGUUGUGUUCAUUGAAAUGAUAGAAAUUUUUGUAAGCGUAAGUAAAAUGAUAUAAGUGAAAACUUAAGCUCUCCAAGGUACAAUCGGCAUACCUUAUAAGACAUUGGAGGCUUGCAACUUGGAUGGGACUACUCAUAAAUCCCAAAGAAAGUACACAUAGCAGUCUAUGCAUCUAAUUACUCAUAAAUCAAAGGGAUUACUUUAAUAUUCGUUUGAUUUGGUUACAAAGGUCAAUUAACUUAUGACUUGACACGUAAAAAGUCGAAAGCUAACUUUUUCUAUUUUCAAAAAUUUAGAUUAGUUCAUAUCUUUUUAUUAUAUCUAAUUAAAUCUCUGAAUUGUUAUUUUUCACUAUAUAUUAAAAUAAUUUUAGAUGAAAUUCAUGGAUGACUAUUAAUCCCUUAACAUUUAUAAGGCAUGUGAAAAAUAUGAUGUCAUAAUAAAAUACUGGUUAUAUUUACUAAUUAGAUCAGUAAACUAUAUUUAUUUUACCAUGUCAUGUGUCCAUCAUUGCCGCAUCAUAUUUUCCACUUGUCCUACAAAUGCCAACAUUGUCACAUAAUAUUUCUCAUGUAUCCUAUAAAUGCCAACAUGACAAGGGAUUAAUGCGUCCAUGGAUUCUAUAUAUCCAAAUAAGGGAGAGUGUUUGGAUAGUGAAAUAUUAUAUUUUAGAGCUUAAUUAAACAGCUUUAAAAGUCUCUUGCGACAUAUAAUGUGAAACAUCCGCGGCCAAAUCCCCAACAAAGAUUGUGUAAUCAAGACCCUCAUCUUGCCUCUUUUCCCCGUAUCCAAGUGCCGCCCAAUUCAAUCUAAAAUUCUAUAAACAGAGGGAAGAGAAUCCAUAAUAAAUAAUAAAUAAUUUACAACCGUCAGAGCUAUAAUUUCUUACUCUAUCUCUUCAAAGUAAGAAAGUAACUCGAACAUCCUCAAAAAUUGUAUGAAAUUCCAACUACGUGAUGUCAAAGUUAUCAGUUUUAUAUCUCCUAUUUGACAUUUGCAUUGUAAUUUUGAAAGAAGUAUUAAAUAAAUGUAUAUAUCCAUUAGAUUUGUGUCAUUUUUUUUUAUGUUAAACUUGUAAUUUUUACAUCCAAAUGUUGAUAUCGUUUUUCCAAAAGUUACAUUUUUCUUAUUUAAAAGCCAUAAAUAAACAUAUAUAUAUAUAUAUCCAUUAGAUUUGUGCUAUUUUUUUCAUAUUAAACUUGUGAUUUUAACAUUCAAAUAUUGAUAUUGCUUUUUCAAAAAUUAUAUUUCUCUUGCUUAAAAGCCAUAAAAGCAUAUUGAGUUCGGCUAAGUUAAGGCCUAUACAUAUCAAGAAGAAGUGGGCUUUACCCCUGUAACAUGGCUAAUUUGAUGGAAAAAAAAAAAAAAGCUCAUUUUCAGAGCUACUAGUAAGUCCAAAUUUUUGUUUAAAAAAAAUCAUCCAUACGGUUGUAAAAUUAUAUCUUAAUUUCACCAUUUUACCAUAUUUGUAACAAUUUUGUAAUGUCAUGUCAAUAUUUAUUAUAAUUUAUUAAUAUAUCAUAUUGAUGUUAUCUGAUUUAAAAUAAUAAAUAAUAUUUCAAUUAUUAAUACUAAAAAUUUAUUUAAAUAUAAAUUAAAAUAAAUAAAAAUUUAUUUAAAAUUGUAAUACUAUAUAUGUCUAAAAUAUUAAAAAAAUAAACUAAAAUCUUAAAUUUCAAUCUUUUACAAUAAUUUAUCUUAAAACUAAAUUAAUAUAAAUUAUUAUUUUCUAGAGGUUUUUCUUUCUUGCAGAUUUUUUUUUGUUUUGCUGUUGACUUUGAUAAUUAUGAUUAGGAAGACGACAUUAACUUCUUCUUUUUUGUUUUUUUUUAUUAAGUAAUAUUAUUCUGUUUUUAAUAAGAUAUAUAUGAAUCAUUAUUGUUUAUGGAAUUAAUGAAAAAGAAAUUUUUUUGGCCUUCCCACUUUAUGGGUUGUGGGUCCCGCGCCCGUACGAGUGCGUUCAAACAAGCAUCGGCAGGGGCGUCAAAUAACCUGACGGUAUUCGCCCCCACCCCAAAUAAAAAUAAAAAAUAUAAAUAUAAAGUAAAUAAACAGCCCGAGACCCAGAGAAGUUACGGACCCGAAGCCUGAGAGGAGUCGAAAAAGGAAAAAGAAAUUGGUUAGUCUCCGUCGUUCCCUUCCAAACCUUAAAAAGUACAACUUUCCUGGCCUGCUCCGGAACUCUCUCGAACUUUCUCUAAUCUACCUAUUAUACCCUCCCACACUUUAUACUCCUAAGUUCUGUCUAUUAUGGCUGUACCUCUUGCAUUGUGAACAUCUCCAUGCUCGACUACCUUCACCAGCUGAUGGAAUCCUUUUCCUUCUAGGUCUUCCCGCUUGGCUUCACCAAGGUGGGGGCAAGACGAUAAUUUAUUUCACAUGAGGGGGGAUGUCCCACUCACUAGGAUGCCCUACAGGCCUAAUGGAUCAUGAAUAACCCUCCACCAAAACGGUUGUCUUAUAGUAGUCAAUGCAGAAUUCAAUGGCUUCACGAUUGCAUUUACUGAAAAAUACAAUAAACUCAAUCGUCAAGCACAAUGUAAAUGCUAUGUCAAUUACUGUUCAAAUAAGAAAUAAAGAUAUUCUGAUCUUAUUGCUGCAAUGGCAUGGCUGCAUGGCAUUAAAUCUGUUUAGAACUCACAAGAUGAACAUGUCUUCCUAAACAGGUUUAUAAGUCUGUCCAUCUUCCCGUCUUUAACUUCAAACUCCACUCGAUUGAUAGGCUUAACUAGAAAGCGAUGUGCAUCAUUGAACCGUUUGCUCAACUACCUGGCAACCCAAAGGCUGAAGGGCGUGGUCACCUUGACGGCUUCCUCGUACCUGUCAUGGAACCAAUGCUGGAACAUAUCUCUGAUGAACUCGAUCAAAACAGUGAUUGGCAUUUGUCUUGUAUGCUUCAAGCAUGAGUUAACACAUUUCGCAAUGUUGGAUGUCAUCAUUUGGUAUCGCCUUGCCGGUGAACAUGCACGUGCCCAUUUCUCAGGCCCUAUUCUCAUAAGGUCAGCGUGGGCUCCCGAGUGAAUCUGCUGUAGCUGGUUCAUAUGUCUAUUGAAAUCAGCCACUUUAUAGCAAUCUCGAACAAGGGUAAAAAGCAUACAAACAUCGUCGCGCUUGAACUUGUUUUUAAAGUUUUUUUCAAGUGGUAACCACAUAAACCAUGGUGCGCUUCUGGGUAUGCAUUUUGGAUUGCUUUCUUAAUGUCGAGAUGCUGAUAAAAAAUGAACAUAGUGUUUUCAGGACAACCAACCGCAUCACGCAGCUUGCUAAGACACCACGUCCACGAGUCUUCGUCUUUAACAUGGCCGAUGCCAAACGCAACUGGAAAUACGCACUUGUUCGCAUCUUUGCUUACAGCGACAAACAGAACACCCUUGAACUUGCCUUUCAGAUGUGUCGCAUCAAUUGCAACCGUAAGAAGCAUUACAUCCCUAAACCCCCGAAUACAAGCCCCGUAUGACCAGAAACAAUAUUUGAAUCUUUCUUCCUCAUUAGUAGCUACUACAGUCACUGUGCCAGGAUUUUCUUGUUUCAACAUAUAAAAAUAUGAGAGUAGUAGUUGAAAUGACUCCUCCGGUGGACCAAAAACAAGCCUCUCCGCAUACUCCUUCGCUUGCUAAGCCUUACCAUACAAGCAUUCCAAUCCCCACUGAACCCUCAUCUCACAAAUUAUGUCCUUAGGUCUCAAUGCUACUCCAUUAGCUCGAAGCUUGUGUGACAUAAGUUCACCAAUCAUCUUUGCACUCGUAGUUGAAAACCGCCCUUGCAAACCAUCAACGGUACAGGUGUGUACUUUGUGGAAUGUCCGAACUUGCCAAUAUUCUCCUAUAUCAGGUAACUUCGUUGCACGCACACUGAACUUGCAUGCCUUGUCCUUGCAACCAACCUCAUAACGAGCUUUACAUGACAUUUUUACUCUUAUCGCAAACUUCUCUUUUAUAACCAACAUGUUCAAAGCUCGUUUCAACUCAGCCUUUGAUGAAAACAUUUUUCCUUUGUAUAAGCGAUCUUCAGCACAUGUCGACUCCUUAGUGGUAAUUGUUUGGAAGGAGAACCUUUCUGCACCUGCAAUUACCCACGUACAAGAUAUCCCUGUAUUUUCCCUUUCUUGAUCACUGUCAUCGAGCAAUGCAUUAAGGGAACAAAUCCCGUUCUCACCAGUGAUGGGGUUAUUGUAUAUGGGGUCAUCACGCUAAACAUCUAGGACAUCAACACCUCCAACAGGUUCCGUUUUGCCUUCAACAUUAUUACGAAUUGGAAUGUCACUGUCACAAAGGCAGUCAUCGUCUGAAUUGUCAUCUUGCCAUUGUUCAAGCCCAUCAUUUGAAGUGUCAUCAAAUCUAUCUUCACCAGCAGUGAACAAAUCCUCAUUUCCCUCAUCAAAUGCAGUAUUAUCCUCUAGUGUCGUAGUGUCACCCUCCAACCUCACAUUGUUGUCCUUAAGUGUCGUAUUCUCAUUUAACAAUGGCAUUAUGCACUCUACAGUUUCACUUGAUCGUUGCAUUUGUUAGAGAAAAACAAGAAAUUGGUUUGAUGCACAUCCUGAUCGAAAUUGUGUAGCCAACUAUUCUGUGAAUGUCGUUUGUCUACCGGGCUGCAAAAGCUCUUGUGCAUACCUCAAUUGCCAUUGUUAUGGGUUCCGAAUCGAAUGCUGUGGUAUAUGUGAAGCAUUUUAAAUCUCAUUUUGAUUGAUCUGAUUACCAUGUUGUCCAACUUCUUCAUGUGACAUAACAUUUGUUCGGCGUCCCUUAAUGCUGACAUACACAGUCGAAACAUUCCUCUGUUCUAGCAGAAUUAAUGCAACAUCCUCAUCGUCCUUAAUAAUUGGCCGUGAUAGCUCUCCAGGCAUAUUGAUCAAUGCAUGUAACUCAAUCUUGUCAAUUUCUGAGUUUACCCCAAUAAAAUCUUCAACCAGCUUCAUCAAGCCCGCAAACGACAAAUCACUCCUAACCUCCCGCAUUCGUGACUCACCACCCUUGUAAAUGCCAUCCACCCACUGACCACCAUGUCUUAUCACAAGUCGCACAAUUGGAACCCCACUGAAAUUUUGAAAAAAAAAUAUUGUUAAUCAUUUUACACAAUACACGUCGUGAUAAAAAAUUUAUCAGUCGUGUUGUUACACGCCAUGCAUAUAACGUAAAAUAUUGUAACACAUCAUGCAUAUCAAAUCAAAUGUCGUGACACGUCAUGCAUCACUAUCGUGACAUGCCAAUCACAGUAAUUACUGACUCGUUACACCAACAACCAUGACACUGUAAAAACCCAAAAAACCAGUUUAUCCACAACACGCCAGGAACAACCGUGACACACCCAAAACCCAAAAAACCAGUUAACCCACGACACGCCAGGAAUAGCUGUGACAUGCCAAAAACCCAUAAAUUCAGUUGUCAUGCCAAGAACAAUUGUGACACGCAAAAAAUCCAUAAAUUCAGUUAACCCACGACACGCCAGGAACAACCGUGACAUGUUAAAAACCCAUAAAUUCAAUUAACCCACGACACGCCAGGAACAGCCGUGACACGCUAACAACCAAAAAAACUAGUUAACCCACAACACGCUAGGAAUAACCGUGACACGCUAAAAUAACGCUAACACAUGUUAUAGAUGCAUGGCGUGUAACAACUCUGGGCAAUGUUUCUAAUCUAACUUCUAAUUUACACCAAAUGUUUCAGAAAUUUAAGUGUGUUGCAAAAAUAAACCCAAUAACAGGUACCUUGAUGUCAUCUCUGCUAUAGGGUCCGUUAAUCUACGAUAAUGUGGCCAGAUGCCUAGAGAUAGACCAUAGCCGAUGACGAUGGUGCUCAAUAGAGAGUUCACAGAGCUUAUACAGUUCAGAGAUCUAAGAGAGUUGACGACGAUGGUGCUCAACAGAGACUUGCCAGAGUUGAGACAGUUCAAAGAGUUGAGAGAGAAAGAUGACCGAGCCUAAACAGCUGCGCGCAUUUAUUUUUAUUUUUUUCUAUUUUCUCUUUGGCAUGAGGCAUAUAGCUCAAACAAAUGAGCAUUUAUUUGAAACGAUGUUUUUAAGGGUAUUUUGGUCUACUCAUGCUUAUUUUUUGCUAGAAACAGAUAAUUUUAUAUGGAUAGUUAUUUCUAAAAUCACCUUAUCACAAGGUCCUUUUCUUACAAUUUUCUCUUUUUUUUUUUGCUAUCAUUUCUUGUCUUCUUUUUGCCUCAAAUGUUUUUUUUUUAAGUUCUCAUUAAUUAAGAAGAUACAGAUUACUACUUCCAAAAAAAAAAAAGAAGAUAAAGAUUACAAAUGGGACAUAGACAUCAUUGCUAUCAAAGCUUUUGAAUGAUUGAUAAAUGUCUUUUAGAUUUUUGUCAUUUUGCAAUCAUUUUUACCUUGGGAUCCAUUUAUUUCUGACUUUCUUGCUUGGUAGGUUUAAUGGCUUUCAUGGAAAAAUACUUGCCCUAUUUUUUUUUUUUUGGAUUAAAUUCUGUGUUUUAAGGGAUUGAAGCUUUACACUUCGUUUAACACAAGGAAAAAUGGCGAAAUACAUCAAACGAUUCAUAUAGUGCAAGGAUCAUGUUUUGCUUGAAGAGAAGUAGAAGGUCAAGGCACAUCUCUACUUUUUGAGCUAUCAUUUACAGAUCCUUAGGAACGUUUCCUCCAUGGCUGGUGAUCUAACACAAGAAAGAAGAUCAUCUAAGCCUAAAUUGUUCUAAUCAAAGCUAUUUCGAUUCAUUGAUCCCUCGAUUAUUGUUCUUUAUUUUUUUCAUUUUUCAAUCAAUUUUAUCUUGAGUUGAUGGCUUCCAAUUAUGUUGCCCCUUUUCGUAAUUUUCUGAACUACUUUGUUGGUUUAAUGGAUUUCAUGUAAAAACACUUGCACUAUUUAUUUCAAUUUUGGGUUUAACUUUUGUGAUCAAAUUAUGCCCCCAAUGGAUGUAAAAUUUAAUGAAAAAAUAAAUAAAUAAGGUUCAAGAUUCAAUUUCAUGUAUUGAAAGAAGUACAAAUAAAAAUAUAUAUAUUGAAAGAUGUAACUAAUUUAGAUUAUUUAAGGUGAAUAUUCUGGUUCGGCCAAAGAAAAAAAAGGCCUUAUUCUGUAAAUGUUUUAUAGUAGUUGUCUCUAAAUUUUCUAUUGUUCUUUGUAAGGGACUACAAUUAUUUGAUAGUUCUAUGAAUCUAGAUUUGUCAUAUAAAUUAAGGCAGAAUUCCCCCUACCCCUUAAAUUAAAUCCCUCAGCCAAAAGAAAAAAAAUCCAAAAGUUAAACUCUACAAAAUCUAUUUGUCAUUGGAAAAAAAGGAAAGCCCAAGAAAUGAUUUCUUGGGCUGGAAAUGGCUUUAUUUACGUGGAUGAAUAAAACACAACCCUUUCAACGUUCAUAUUCAAACGUUGUACAAUUAAUGGAAUACGUAUUUUGUUUAAAUAAAAAAAAGAAGAUUAAAAGAAAGGAAGGCAGAUACACCAAUUUGGAUUUGAAUGAUUUAUAAUUAUGAUGAUUUUCAUAUUCAUAUUCACUUUUGUUAAUAAAAAAGUUUUUGAAAAAGAAUUUUUAUAGACAGUUGAAAUUUGGUGUUAAUAAGCAUAGGAAAAAUAAAAAAAAUAAGUAAUUAAAUAGACUUGAUUUUUUAUCAUCUCGGUCCAUCUCAUUAUCUUUGUUCUUUAUUGAUUUUUUUAUUAAAUAAACUCGACUUUGAUCAUUAUUUUUAAUCACAUCAUAAAGUUAUAAAAUUUUUGAAAAUAAGAUUUGUAAAUUUUGAAUUUUAAACUUUCAAAAUAUAUUUUUUGAAUUUUGAAUUAUAUAUAAUAUUUUAAAAAUAAUGAUAAAAAUUGAGUUCAUUAAUUUGACGAAAAAAAUCAAACAGAUAUAAAUAAAACGAGAUGGGGAUAGCAUGUAUUUGUAAUAAAAUUAGGCUCCCGUUGAUGAGUACUUUUACUUCCUUUUCCUUUUUCUAUUGCAAAAAAUGAAUAAAAAGGAAAAGGCAAAAUAAAUAUAUAAAAAAAGAUAAAAGUAUUAAACUGGCACGGAAUCUAAGUGCAUGUAGAAAUAAUCGAAUCCCUUCUUAUAAUUCUUAUUAUAAGCAUUACCUGGUAAAAUUUUCUUCCAUCAAUGAGAAAUUACUUCAUUUUAAAUGCUUUAUGUGAACUUGCUGCCAAGCUAUGCUACCAUGGCCAGAUCUUAUAGGUUGAAGUAACAAUCAAACUCUCAAUAUGUCAAUAAAUCACUUGGAACCUUCAUAAUAAAAGUGUACUUGGCUUGUAUAGGAAAAUUAAAGUUUUAUUUCCCAGGUCUUGAUUUAAAAAUCAAAAAUAAAAACAAGAAAUAGAAGAAUUUCAGGCUUGUUCUUUUACUUAUUGUACAUACAAACAGCAACAUAACAUUGAUUGAGUAAAUUAUUGAAAGCAAGUGAUCCCUUCCCUUGACAAGUCCAUGAAGCCAACAUCUUGACCAACGAUAAGCACAAUAAUUUCAACUACCCGUUUUUCUUUUUUUUUAUAUAUAUAUAUAAAUAAUAAAGGUUAGCACAAAUGAACCACCAAAACUUGAUUAGGACUAGGCAAACAAGUGAAAGAAAUGAAAAUGGAAAGUAGCCUUUGUUUUACCUGUGUUUAGUUGACGGCCCCAAAAUACUCCUUGAUAUUUAAACAUGCCUUUGGAACUUCUCCUACAAUCAUCUCAUAGUUCUUCCUUGUAAGGUGGUAGAUGAUCACCCGGACGCUGCCGGCGCCAAUCUAUGGUCUUGGUGUGGACUACAUUCUGAUCAGUGACAGAUUCUUCGGUGGUAUCUUGCUCAACCAGUUGCGGUGUCUUUUUAAUAAUUGAAACAGUAAAAUGUCAAACAAAAGUAUUAAUGUUACAUGUUAUAAGGGUAAAAGAAAAACUAGACAUUAUAAUUUAUAAGCAUUUUAAGUCAAAAAUUUAUUAAAGGUGACGGAAAGUGAUAUUCUAGACCAACAAUCAUUUAAGUAAUUUUUUUUAAAGUAUUUUAAGUAAUUUAAGUAAAGACUUUGAAGAUUAUGUCUUAUAAUAUUAUUAAAGACUUGAAUUGCCUUUGCACACACCAAAUAAAAGCUUCUAUUUAAUGCAGUAAUCAAUAGUAAAAGCUCUUAAUCAUCAUUAACAAUUAUGUUGGGAGGAUUUGGAGAAUGAAGAAGGUAUUUACAGUUUUUGUGAAUAAUAUUCUUGCAAGAGUCCAUUAUUGAAGAUGGCUUCAAAGGAUUUCUUAUCAAUUUGGAAAGGUUGUCAAUACAUUUAUAGGGAGAAAUAAAAGCAAAUAUGGUAAGAGGCAUCCAUUUAUCAUAUUUGGAUCUUUUAAUAAAGCUAGAAGAGCAGGCCAAAAUUUAAAUGGAGCCUGACUUCUUAACCAAAGGCUAGAGGAACCAAAAAGGAAGCUUCUUAUGGACCUAGUACUAACGACAAUGGGAAAGAAACCUGCAGUGGGAUUUUGAGACAAAACUCGACCUUAUUCACUAAGCCAUCUUAUGCUCUGGUAUUGAAGGGUGCUUUUGAAAGUGGUGGAGCUUCAAAUGAAGAGAGAGGAGAUGAUCUUCAAUGUCCUAAAAAGCAUGGAAAACAUGCUUUGUUUGAAGAGAAGUGUUGUGGUAACAACAUAAUGUAAUUCAGAUUCAGCAAAUUUAAUGGCAUUAUUUAAAAUGCAAGGCAUUUCAGGGCUGCUUGAGGAGUUUGUCUAACAAAGAAUUUCUGCUAAACUUUAAGGAUAAGGAGCUGUUUGAAGAGUUCAAAGAUAAAGGUUGGGAUUGGCUUAACAAAUGGUUUACUAAGGUGGAAACAUGGUUAGAGAAUUUUUCAUCAAAACUCCUUAGCAAGUGGUUUAUUGUACAGGGCAUCCUUUAGAUGUGUGAAAUAGGCAUAUUGUAAUUUAUAAGCAUUUUAGGCCAAAUUCAUUAAAAGUGAUAUUCUAGACUAAGUUUUGGUUGUAGUGUCACACACAAUCAUUUAAGUAAGUUAAGUAAAGACUUUGAGGAUUAUGCCUUAAAAUAAAAAAGAUUAAAGUUUUUAGGGUGUAUACCUCUAUUUUGGCGUGCACAUAUUCCUCUGAAUCUAUGAAGAAGCCUGUAGUCAUCUUGGGACAUUCUCUUACUUUCAAAGAAAUCAAAGCCGAUAAUACAAAGUGAUAUCCUCUCGGGCAGAAGUCAAUGAGGCUUGGCAGUUCUUUAAGUGAUAAAUAUUUUAAUUGAUCAAACUUUAUUUCUUUUUCAGUUAUCACUUCUACUUCAUCUUCAAGUUCAAACAGUUGCUCCAAUUUAGAGUUCCCUUUAACUGUUAACUUUUCAAGUUUUGGAAGACAACAAGCAGAUCCAAGGGGAAAGAGACAUCUUAGCCUCUUGCAAUCAAUCACCUUUAGAAUUGUAAGGUUUUUGAGAGUAACAACUUGAGUGACAUCCUUCCAUAUAAUACACACUUCAGAUAAAUCCAACAGGUAGAGUUCCCUUAUAUGCCCAUGAACAUGGAAUACCUCUUCAUGACUCCCAACUGCUAUGUAGUCUUGACUGCAAUUGGCAGAAACACGCAAUUGACAACUAUUUCCCAACUUAGACAGAAGUAAUUCCUGCAAAUAUAGACACCACUAAAUGUCACAAGUACAUUCAUUUUCUAUUAGAAUGGGAAUAGUUGAGCAAAUGCUACUAAUAAUUUUUCAUAAUUUUAUAUGCCACUUCACAAAAAAUCCUUACAAUUUUAACGGCAGCACAUAUAUAUGUUUCAAAAUUUAAAUCCAAAAGUUUCAUGAAAUUGUUUGAAAGUAGAAUCCAAAGACACCUAACCCUUUCAAGUUUUUCUCUGUUAAUUUUGAACUUAAAACCAUUUAUGGUUUUCCUUUUCGUUUGUAUUUUUCUUUGUCAUUUUGUCUUGAACAAUGUUGAUUUGAAAAGUAAACACAAAGUGAUAAAGUGUCAAUUUGUUUUUGUAAUUUUCCUUAAUUAUAUAUAACAACACAAAAGAAAUCCACCCCCCCCGCCCCCCCAAACGGAAAGCCUAAAUCUCUCAAUCUCUUUCUCUUGUCUGAAACUUGAAUUGAAGAAAGUAGAAACACCUUCAAUAAAAAAAAAAGGAACUCAUGGCCAAGAAGAAAAAGAAAACUUAAAUUGCAGAAGAAAGAGAAAAUGGAAUCGAAGAAGGAAAAGGAAGCUCGAACAAGAAAAAAGGAAUUGCUAGGAUGUCAUCGUGAAAAAAAUAUAUGAUGAAUUUGAAGUCAGAAACAAGGACAAGGAAAACCCAAAGAUCCCCAGGUUACCCACAAAUAAUAUUUAUUUUUCAAAAUAGAUAGUAUAAAAUUUUUGAAUUGUAACUUUAAAAUGUAGUUGGAUUAGUUUAUGAGUGUUGAAAAGAUUUGGUUCAAAGGUAAAAUCUAAAACUAUAAUUGAAGGAAAAGUGUAUAAAAGAUACCUUUAGUAGAACCUGCUCGUUAACUUCUUUUUGAAUUGUGAAAUUUGUCAAUUUAGGACAGUUCCAAACACCCAACUUCUCCAAGGAUGGUGAUGAGAUGAGAAAGUUUUCCGAGCAAAAGCAACUCAAAUUUAUCAAGUUUACAAGUAGUAAAUCUUGUAGGGAAGGGAGUGCAAUGGCACAAUCAACUCCAUUCUUUUCUUUUGCCACAUGGAAGACUUGUUGUAACUGAGGAGAAUUGCUUAUCCAAAAUGAUUUCAAUCGUGGAAGAACUUGAGCCAAAGGAAUUUGAAAAAUAUUUUCCAAUAUUGGACAAUGACUUAUUCGUAGAGUUUCCAAUUUUGGCAAAAACGACGAAUGGAGAUGGGUAUUUGUUUCUAUUUCAUCAUCACAGUCCAACUCGGUGAUAAUGUGUUGCAAUCCAUCACAAUGAUCUAUCUGGAGUUGUUCAAGGAGCACCAAGCUUUGAGCAAGGGAUGGUGAAAAGAGAUGUUUCAAUCUAUUGCAGUAACUAAUUUCGACAAACUUCAAGCUUUGGAGGCUGACAAAACAGGUGGACCCUUUCCAUAUCCACUUCAAUUCUGGUAAUAAUUUUAGCUCCAUCAGUGUUAAAUUUGACAACAGCGAUCCUUGAUUUUCUUUCGUAUCAUGAAGAAACUCAUCUAUUUGAAAUACUUCUUGCAACUGGCCACAGUUAAUAACUUUCACUUCCUCUAGAUUUUGUAGCGCGGGAGAUAAAAAAGCCAUUUCCAUGCAAUUCCUUGCUUCCAACGUCUUUAGUUUUUGUAGAAACCCUUUUGGAAACCCACCGUUGCACAACAUUUUCAAACCAGUCAUUUGUUCUAUGAAUAAUUCCACCAAAUUAGAGAAGGCAUUGGAUGAGACAUGGCCUUGUGUUGUAUCAAUCAAGCAUUCCAGCUCCUCACCAUCUUUAAGUGUAAGAAAAGUUAAUUCAUUAAGCCCCUUUGGAUCUACAUUUGGAAUAAGAUUUUUCUGAUUCUUGACUCCAUCCAAGGUAAGAUUUUUGACAUUGUGUAAUAACUCCUUCAAUGCAUGCAAUUGAUCACUCUGAUAAAUUCACAACAAAAUGAAUAUUAGACAAAUAGAAAAUAGCAUAAAAUUUAAAAAUUGACACAAAAGAAAACUGUUUUAUCUUUUCAUUGAAAGCUCAUUAAAGUUGAAAAACACACCAAAGCUUGGAGUAUAAGUAAUAGUGUACAUGCUGAAAUUUAUUGGAUACAUGGAAAUAUGAUUUAGCAAUAAAGUACACGUGGCGUGCAUGCAAGGAAGGAAAAAAAAUAAAAAUUUUUAUUGCCACAUGCUUGUUUGCUUUUUGUUCAUUAAAUGCAUUAAAUUUUUUAUUUUAUCAUGCCACGUAUCUGCUAUUGCCACGUCAUAGUUUAACAUGUCCUAUAAAUGCUAGCGUGGCUAGGAGUUAAAAAUCCAUGGAUUCUAUCCUAAUAAGGAUGCUUGGACAAUGACAAAGAACACUUUAAGAGCUUAAUGAGAUGCAAUUAUAUGCUAAAUUAUCAUGCAGCACUCUCAAUCUUAUAAUAUGAAUGAAUUCUUUUUUUUUUUUAAUGACAAGUACGCUAAGUAAUUAAUGAAGGAAUUGGAGACAAAGUUGCUGAUGAUGAGAGUUUGAAUUUUUCUAAGGAUACAAGUGUGACUUAUCCUAAUUUUUAUAAAAUAAUGCUUUGUAAAAACCUUUCUUGAAUAAGAGUUUUCAUCUUUUUCCUAUUUUGUUAUUCAAAUCCUUUUCCCAUUUCAAGAAAGAUUCAGAAUCAACUAGCUAAUUAUUGUACGAAUGUGCUGUUCUUUCUUUUUAAUUCAUGAGUAUUGACUUUUAAUAUCCGUCAAAAUAAAGAGUAUAAUUUUUGAACAACAAGGAAAAGUGUAUAAAAGAAAUACCUCUACUUGAAUUUUCUCGUUAACUUCUUUUUGAAUGUUGAAAUUUGCCAAUUUAGGACAGUUCCAAACUUCCAACUUCUCCAAAGAUGGUGAUGAGAUGAGAAAGUUUUCUGAGGAAAAGCAACUCAAAUUUAUCAAGUUUACAAGUAGUAAAUCUUGUAGGCAAGGGAGUGCGAUGGCACAAUCAACUCCAUUCUUUUCUUUUGCCCCAUGGAAGACUUGUUGUAACUGAGGAGAAUCGGUUAUCCAAAAUGAUUUCAAUCGCGGAAGAACUUGAGCCAAAGGAAUUUGAAAAAUAUUUUCUAAUAUUGGACAAUGACUUAUUCUUAGAGUUUCCAAUUUUGGCAAGAACGAAAAAUGGAGAUGGGCAUUUGUUUCUAUUCCAUCAUCAUAGACCAACUCGGUGAUAAUGUGUUGCAGUCCAUCACAGUGAUCUAUCUUGAGUUGUUGUAGCAGUACCAAGCUUUGAGCAAGGGAUGGUGAGAAGAGAUGUUUCAAUCUAUUGCAGCAACUAAUUUCUACAAACUUCAAGCUUUGGAGGCUGACAAAACGGGUGGACCCUUUCCAUACCCAAUUCAAUUCUGGUAAUGAGUUUAGCUCCAUAAGUGUUAAAUUUGACAACAGCAGUCCUUGAUUUUCUUUCGUAUCAUGAAGAAACUCAUCUAUUUGAAAUACUUCUUGCAACUGGCUACAAUUAAUAACUUUCACUUCUUUUAGAUUUUGCAGCGCAGGAGAUAAAGAGACCAUUUCCAUGCAAUUCCUUGUUGUCAACUUCUCUAGUUUUUGUAGAAAGCCCUUUGGAAACUGACCGUUGCACAACAUUUUCAAACCAUUCAUUUCUUCUAUUACUAAUUCCACCAAAUUGAAGAAUGUAUUGGUUGAGACAUGGCCUUGUGUUGUAUCAAUCAAGCAUUCGAGCUCCUCGCCACCUUUAAGUGCAAGAAAAUUUAAUUCAUUAAGUCCCUUUUGAUCUACAUUUGGAACGAGAUUUUUUUGAUACAUGACUCCAUUCAAGGUAAGAUAUUUGACAUUCUGUAAUAACUCCUUCACUGCUUGCAAUGGAACGUCCUGAUAAAUUCACAACAAAAUGAAAGAUAUUAGAAAAAUAGAAAGGUAGAUAAUACUCCUUAAAUCAGAAUUGAUUUUUUUUUUCUAUGCAUAAAAUUUAAAAAUUGAGACAAAAGAAAACUGUUUUAUCUUUUCAUUUAAAGCUCAUUAAAGUUGAAAAACAUACCAAAGCUUGGAGUAUAAAUAGUGUAUAGUAUUCUUUUAUGUACAUAUUAAUGUACUAAAAGAAAGAUGUUUUUCUAUGAUCAGAUAAAUAAUCAAUUAAUAAUUAUCAAAAGUAAAAUUGAAACAAACGAAAAUAUAACAGAACUACCAUCAAUAGAGACCGCGACCAAAGUCCUUCGUGAAUAUGGAAACGAGUCAUUGAUCCGCGUGGGAGACCAAUACUGCAAGCUUGGAAUCCCUUCAAAGAUGGCAACAUGACAAAAUAGUUUCUGGGACAAAAGUUCCUGAAGUUUAGUAAGUAUUCAAGUCUUAAAGACUGUAAGCGAGGGAGCAGAAUAUCGUGCCCAUACUCUUCUUUUGCCAUGUUGAAGACAUGCAUUAGUUGAGGGCAAUCAAUUAUCUGAACUGAUUCCAAGUGCGGAAGUCCUUGAGCCAAAGUGAUGGGAAACACAUAUCUCAAGCUUUCGCAACUAGCUAUCACAAGAGAUUUUAAUUUUGGCCAGCACAGAAGAGAGCGAUCCUUGUUUGAAAUUAUCUCAUCACCAUUUUCUGCUUCGGUGAUUAAAUGUUCCAAAGAGUUGCUUCCCUUUAUCCAGAGUUCUUCCAGAUGCACCAAAGUUUGAGCAAGUGUAGCUAAAAAGAGAUACUCCAGUUUAGAACACGAGCAAAUUCUCAUAGUUUUAAGAUUCUGGAGGUUAACAAGAUGGGUGGGUUCUCUCCAUAUGCACCUCAAUUCUGGUAAGGACUCCAGCUCCAAACAAAUUAAAUUUGAGAGUGGGGGUGCCUGAUUUUCCUCACAUAAAACAUAUAUUAUCAAUAAAUAAUUAUUUAAAUAUGAAUUCGUUGUACUUGUUCAAAAAAGUACUUAAAUAUUAAAGGCAUACAUUUUAAAAAAUUUUAAAACGAAGUGUAAAAAGCCACAAUUUAGAAAGAUUACAACUGAUGUUUACUUAUAUAUUUGGUAAUUUAACAUAAAAAAACACAAUUAGAUAAAGAACAAAUAAUAGAAUUAUUAAAGGAAAAAUGGAGAGAUGAGGGGUACCUCCAACUCAGCCAUAUCUUGGGCAAAAGCAAAGACUUGCUCUAAUUUCUUGCAUGCAGAUAUCUUGAGUUGUUCAAGAUGCAACAAACUUUGAGCAAGGCAAGGUGAGAAGAUUGAUUUUAGUUUAUCACAACCAUCAACUUUUACAUCCUUCAGAUUUUGUAGGCUUACAAGAUGAGUUGGCUCUUUCCAUAUACUCUCUAAUGCUGGUAAUGACUGCAGCUCCAAGCUUCUUAAAUUUGAGAUCGACCACAUACAACCAUUCAUUUGAAACACUGAUUGCAACUGUCCACAAUCGCAAAUGAUCAAUGUUUCUAAGUGUUGUAAGAAGCUAUUCGGUAAUUGACCAUGGCAUAACUCUUUCAAAGAAGUCAUUUUACCAAUGUCUAAGUUCACCAAAUUAGAGAAUGCAGUGGCUGGACUCUGUUCUCGUGUUGUAUCGAUCAAGCAUUCCAAAUCAUCGCAAGAUGUAAGCUGAAGAGAAGUUAAUUCAUUUAGUCCCCACUGAUCUACAUUUGGAACAACAGUUUUGUGUUCCAUGAUAUUCUCCAGACUCAGCCUUUCCACAUUGCGAAACAGCUCCUUAAAUGCAUUUAAUGAGGAGGAAUCUCUAAUUCUCAAUAUUCUCGAGAUAAGCUUUCUCGGAAUUUCAAUGUAUCCAUUUACACCUAUAUUGUAGCUUUGUAGUUUAGGAAACACAAAGUUUUCUUGAAAACAUUGAUCAGUAGAAACUGUCAAUGUUAAUGCAGUCAAACGAGACAACGAAUUCAACUCCGAUAAGUUGGCAAUGGUAAAACUUAACAUGUGUAGCUCUUGGAGUGACGUUAACCUGUUACACACAAAUACACAAUAUUAUUAACACAAUAACAGCACUUUCAAGCAGACAAUGAAAUAGCUACUAUUAAACUACAGCUUGCAAUGUUUCAUAAUAAUCGGAGUGACUAAAAGCUCAUGAUAUAUAUACAUAUAUAUAUAUAUAUAUAUGUAUAUAGUAGUCAAAUUGAAAACAACAAAAGGAAAAAUAAAAUAACAUAAAAUUAAAUUUUUUUUUUACUCAGCCAAGAAAAAAAAGAGAUUUAUAUAUAGACAGCUUAAAUGUACAAAAUAAGAAGAAACAAGAACAACCGCUCAAAGCAAAAAACUUAAAAAGAAGCAACUUGAUAGCUUGGCUGGAGGCAAAAUCAACACUUCAUAUGAGAUGACAUGUUACGGGAUUGGUGUCAGUACACAAGAGACCAACAUAUCAAACAGUCUCAUAAAAAUCGACCAAGGCAAAGAUGAAUAUAUUGGCACAAUCAGAUUGCCAGCGGGAAACAAUAAAAUUAAAUACUUAAGUAAAAACAAUUAGAUAAUCAGUUUUAAUGACAUCUAAGUAUUACCUUGAUAUCAAGUUAGGGGGGACAUGUCUGUCUUCAUCUCCAACCCAAAAAAUAUAUAGUGACUUUAGUCUGCGCAACUCCACUAAUUCUUCAGGUAAUUCAUCAAUAUAAGUUCUAAUCAAAGACAAAGACUCAAGAUUUUCUAGAUUUCUCAACGAUGAAAUGUUCUCAACGUCACACCUCAUAAUGCACAGAGUUCGCAGAUUUGUUAGGAAUUGAAGUGCUUCCAUUGAGAAUACAACACGUUGAAGAAAUAAAACUCGGAGGGUUUUCAUUCCUUCAAAAAAUUUACUCGGAACUCUUAGGUAAUCUUCUCCCGUUAAAAACAAAGUCUUGAGUUUUGAAAAUUCUAAUUUAUCGGGAAAAUUAACUAUCUUAAUAUUCCAUAAGGAGAUUGUUGUGUAACAACCAAAAAUUUCACUCUUAGGCCAUUCCGUCAGCUCAUUUUUUACCAUGAACAUAUUUUCCCCUCUUGAUGUUAUCCAAUGAGCAAAAUCACGAACCACAUCAUGCAUUUUUACAUAGAAUUCAUCGUCAGUUUCCAAUAACAAACCAAACUUUUGGAGCUUUGAUAGUGCUAGAUGAAUUUCCCUCCUUAUUUCUUCAAUUAAGUUAAUAUGACAAAACAGUCCCUGACCAAUUCCGAAUUCAGUCAACAACUCAACAUUAAUAUCAUAAUCUUCUGGAAAAAGAGAACACAACAAGAAACAUGACUGAAUAUUUUCUUCCUUCAAAUAAUCAUAACUAAGCUUAAGGCAGCUAUAGAUACCUCCACAAACAUCUUGAUUAUCCAAAUGUCUUGACUCCUUAAGUCGUUGAUUUGCUGCUAUCCACCCAUUUAGACUUUCACGUUUUAGAGCUUUCGCCAUAGUUACAAUUGCAAGAGGCAAACCCUUAGCUUCACGAGCAACCUCCUUGGCUACAUCAUUCAAGGUGGGAGAGGCAUCUUUUAGACCAGCAUUAUCUUUGAAUAAAGCCCAUGCCUCAUCUUCAGACAGAAUGUUCAGUUUAAAUUCUUCUUGACAAUUCAUUUGACUACAGACUUGUCGAAGACGUGUAGUUAGAAGAAUUUUGCAACCAGGGUGUUUGUCACCAGAUGGAAUUCCUAUAUUUCGCAAUUCAAACUGUUCCCAAACAUCAUCGAGAAUAAUGAGAAUCUUCUUCUCGCCUUUUAAUCUCUUGAAUAACUCUUCUGCUUUUCCUUCUUCUGUACUUGCAUUAAAUUUUAAACCCAAGAUUUCAGAAAUUCUAUGUUGAAUUUUGUUGAUGUCUGGAUUUUGAGACACCCCCCUAACAAUCACAACUUUAUCAAAGAGCUUUUCUUCCGUAGCUUGCUUCCCCACUACUUCCGCCAAAGUUGUUUUACCCACUCCUGGCAUUCCGUGCAAUCCAAUCACGUUCACACCAUCACCUUUUAAAGCCUUCAUGAUCCCAUUGAAAGCUAACGUUGAAGAUUCGGAACGCAUGAAAUCCUUGGGUAGUAGGAACUCUAUUCCUUGAAGAGGAGGGCGCUGGCCGACUAGUGGAAAGUUACAGGUCUCUAAAAGUUUAGAGAUACAAAGAUUCUUCUUCGCGACUUUCUUACUUAAGCAAUAUCGCCAACCCCAACUAGGACACCAAUUGAAACACUUGUUACGCUCUAUUUCUUCUUCCAAACUCUGAGCUUCUCCCAAUUCUUUAUCUGCCUUUGUUAGCCACUCCUCAACGCCCUUCUUAAUUACCUCAGUUUGCCUUAAAGCCUCAUCGACAGCAUCUUUCAACUCAUCUCUUUUUGAUUCAAGUUCAUUUCGCCGGUUCUUGAAAUCUUCAACAAUUUCGCCAAAACGGAAAAAGUAACGGAGAUAAGGUGAUGCGUAUUCUGUUGCUAAGUUCCCCGCGGUACCGCUAAUAGCAGCGCAAACACAUUCAAGAAACAUUCUUUGAUGAUCUGAGGCUGAAAAACAAUUUGGAUGAGUAAAAUGUUUUACAGAGAGACAAAAAGUAAUUACGAAAUGUUCACAAAAUAUCUCGCCUUUGCAGCAAUACUUUUAUAAAAUAUGUGAAUCACAAGAGAACAAAUUGUCCGCCGACUAACUUGGAAAUUGAAAAUGCUGCACAAGUAGAAAUUAUUCACUGGUCAUGUGUAUAGUAAUUAGAAAUAUAUCUUACAUGUUAGAGUAAAAUCAUAGUAUUAUGAUUCUAUAAAAUACUUUCUCAAAAUUUAAAAUAUCUAUUUAUUUCAGUUUUUUCCUAAUAGCUACAGCUUUUGUGUAACCAUGCAUGCUCGUCAUGGGCAAGGAAAGAAGUAAAGUGCAAAAUUAUUAUUUUUAUUUUCCAAGUGAAGAACUCAAGAAGUCAAAUGCAUAAGUGACAAGAGAAAUAAAAAGCAUAGCAAAAAUUAUAUAUGGACAAUAUAAUAUGUAUUGUUGAAGCUUACCUCACUUCGAAAGGAUCUUCUAACGCUGCAUGGAUUUUUUCUUCACCAACUCCGGAGAUCGGGAAAGUAAAAUUAAGGACUUCUUUUCUGGAUAGAAAGCAGAGAAAUCCAAAUACUAGAGGUAGCAGCUUUGGGUUUUUUUUUUUUUUUUGGCCUUUGUGGAGCUGAGGAAAGGAAACGUAGGGAUCAAAGAACAGUUUUUGUUUUUUAUUUUUCUGAGUUAAAAGAAAAUGAGGAAAGUAGAAACCAAUGGAAAAAACGAACAGAGAUUUUUUUUUUUUUUGAGUUGAAAGAAAAUGAGGAAAGCAGAAACCAAUGACAAUAAACCAACAGAGAUGCUUUUCUGUUUUUGAGUUGAAAAAUUGAGUGGAAAAAUCAAGGAAAAUGAAAUGGAAAAUUAAGGCAGAAAUCAAACAAAAUCUUUGGGAUAGUGCAGCUCACAGAUGUGGAGAUGGUAGAAGAAGAAGCUUGAAUGGAAACUCUAUGAAGACGAAGUAGUGAGAGUAGGUAUAGGAACUUUGGAACACUAAUAUUCAAAUUAGGAACAACGGAAAAAAAUUAGCAACUUGGCUUACACUUCCCAUGUAAGAUUCUCUUUUCUUUGAUAUGCGAGAGCUAAUGCUAUACAUUGAGAAAGUUAAUUUGUUUUAUUUAUCGUUUUUCAGUUGGCUUUUCCAUAGUUUGUCCCCCUUUUGUUUUUUCUUCCCUGGUUGUGGGUGGUGCUCGAGACACAAAUGUUUAUUGCUCCCUCUAGCUAAAAGCUCUUUGGCCAGCAUGUGCAAUCAACAUUAUUAUAUAAUGUUUAUAGAUUUGAGGAUUUUUGUUUACCACUAGAGACAGUUGCAUGUGAACGAAUUAGAUAUUCUAUUCAAAUUUUAAUUGGGAAUCAGUAAAAUUUCAUUAAUAAAAAAAUUAUUUGGUGAUUAAGUUUAUUUAAAGGAUAAAUAUAGUUAAUGAUUAAGAGUUUUUAAUGGAUAGGAAUUCAUGGUGACAAAGUAAUAUGGUUUUAUAAAUAUGGAAUGUGUCUUAACUUUUAAAAUUAAGAUAGAGAUGAGAUCUUUAUAUGAUCUUAUGUAAAAGAUAAUUUUUUUUAAAUGGAGUUUUUUGUAAAAACUUCACAGAAUUAUAGAGAUGUGAGAAGGAGCACGAGAAAUACAAGAAAGAGUAGGGGAAACGCAGUUUGCAUGGGAUCGAAAGUAUUUUAUGAGUUGAAACAAUAGGGAGCACAGAAACUGGAUUUGUUUCGAAGCUUAAGUUUAGUAUUUGUUUUUAUUUGUACUUUUUGUAAUCUCUAUGCCUAUAAUGAAUUUUUCUGAAUGCAUAUUAAAUAUUAUCUCUUAUAUGUGCUUUAUAAAUUAAAUUUUCAUUUGUAAUUUAUUUACUUAACUUACAAAAUAUAUAGUAUAAAAAGGAGGGUUUUUCUUUCUAGUUUUUUAGUGAUAUAUUACCUUGGACUCCGCACCUGGUCUUUAAGCUCAUGUGGUUAAAGCUCAGCAGAGUAAUAAGAUUUGGUCAUUAUCUUGGGCUUUACGUUGACCCAACCAGAGCAAUCUACUCUCAUUUUAAGGAAAGGAAGUACUUAUUGUAAACCUUGAACUAGUGGGAGUAAUUGUUUAUAUACCUUUCUCUCUUCCAAAACGUUGGUCCUAUCCUUUUAUUUCGAAUUUUUUCAUUUUUUAGUUAAUUUUCUUUUAAAAAAUUAUAUUCUGUGGAGGGAGGACAUGAGCCCGUAGUGAAAAUGUAUUUGUAUUAUCAAAAUCAAAUAAAAACUAAAAGAAAUAUCAUCAAAAACAGGGGUCAAAGCCUUGUACCCUUUCUAUACUUUUAUCACUUCGCUUUUUCCGUUAUAUUUGGUCUUUGAGGUGAUGGCCUUGGAGUAGUAAUGUAUUCUUCCAACAAUUACUAGUCAUUUUACAAUAAUAGGAAAUUUUUUAGUAAAAUAUUUAUAUAAUAUAUUGCCCUGUUUAAAUUGUGUAGGCCUCAAUAAGUUAAAUUUUGAGCUGAUUAAAUUAUCGAAAAUUAUCCAAUAAACUGUCAUGGAGUUUGAAAACUUUAUCAAUGGAAUUAGGAGGUUGCAACAUAUUCAUUCGGAUAUAUUUGAAAAAAUAAAUAAAUUAAUCUGAUAAAUAAAAGGAUAUUAAUUUGACAAUAUUUUAAUUUUACUAACAAAGUUAAAAUCUCACCGAGGAUGCAUAGAUUAAUAGUCCUUAAAAUAAUCCCUUUGUUUUUACAAUUGAGGGACAUUGAUCGUUACAUGCAUUAGUAGUGGAGAUUUGUUGCCUUUUCCUUAAAAGAUCAUUACAUUUUUUGCUUAAUUGCAUGCUUGUGUUCGGCUUAUAUAUAUAGGCUUUCAUUAGUGCUUGUUGAAUUAUGGCAGUGAAGUGUUUAGUAGAGUUGAUAUGAAUGAAGUGACUAUCCAGAGAUAUUGCAUCGUAUCGUUUUCUGCUUAUUGGGUUCCAUUGCUUGGAGCAUUUCUGCAGUUUCUGCGUACUUAUUUGCUACAACUUGAAAGAAAUGAGCAUGGCAAGAUUGUAUACAAAUUUGCCUAUGACUUCAAAUUUAGUUCGGCUUGAUCAACAAAAGAGGAAAAUUUCAGUUGAGAUUUUAGCAUUUUGGUUACUGAAUGAGUGACUCUAGGAAGAUGGAUAACGUUCAUGCAUGCUUGCGAAGCUCGUUUGGUAAUAUAUAGCACAAAAAGCAUAGUGAACCCAACUUCGAAACACAUGGAUGCCAUCUAUUUUUCUAACAACAGCCGUGGCAAGCGUGAGCAUACCAAUUCUAAGUUCUAACAUUGGGUUUAGACCACUUUAUCAAAUUUCAAAGCCUUUCUUUAGUGCUUUUUUCCCCUGGAUUUCUUGGUAGAAUUAACUGGUGCCGUAAAAGAGGGCCAUGUUGGGGAUGGCAGGGGACGGAUUAGUGUAAUUUUUUUAUAUUUAUAAUUGAAACAAAUUAGAGGAAUGCAGAUUAGGGGACAGUAGAUUAUGGAAACGGUGGAAGACAUUUCAGCAGGUGGAUUCUUUAAAGGAGGUGAUAGGCAGUGUAUUAUUCUGUGAGUGCUGAUUUUUUGGCAAAGGAAGGUGCAAGGAGAGAAAGUUUUUAUUGGAUAUUGUCAUUACCUUGAGAUUUACAUUGAGCCAGUGGGAUUAAUUAUUAUUAUUAUUUUUUUGUUUUUAAGAAAAAGAACCACUUUUUGUAAACCGUGAACUAAUGGAGGCAAUUGGUUUUAUAUACAUAUUGCUCUUGCAAAACAUUGUAAUUUAGAAAUUUAGAAGUAGAGGUAUACGUUGAUCCCUUCAUUAAUUCGACAACUUCCAUAUAAAACAAAAGCUCAGCAGAUGAAGACGAAGCUAGCAGCUAGCUUGGAGGGAAGUGUGUAAGGCACUAAGCAGCUAGCAGUACAAUUCCUGGCCUCAGUCAUGGUUCACUUUUUGCCUAUGGAGACGCAAUCUCUUUUUAUAAUCAAUUUGUUUUCAUUUGACACUCUGUUUAAGAUGUAGUAGCUCAAUCUCAGCCAUAUACACGAAUAAAAUAAAACGACGGUAUUUACUUGGUUAAUUGGUUGUUAGCCAACUUGAUGGAAAUCUAGUAAUUAAAAGCCAAAGGAAAAUAUCAUCAAAAUCAGGGGCCAAAGCCUUUCGCCUUUUUUAUAGUUGAUGCUCCUUCCAGCUUUUACCACAUUGCUUUUUCCUUUACACUUGGUCUUUGAGGUGAUAGCCUUGGAAUAGUAAUGAGAACCACCCAAAACCAAUUAAAGUAGAUGAUAGAUGAAAGAAAGAAAUGAGAAUACUUGUUAAUUUGCUACUAAGUAGCAGCAGCUAGUCAAAUUCAGAUUUAUGCAUUAACAUAGUUUCACCUUCUUGUUAAAAUUUAUUCUGAUUCUUCUGAUGUAGCUUUAUUUACCCAGCAGCGAGCCUUCAAAAUCAAACAAAGUGGGACAUGAAGAACAAAAAUUAGCUUGGGACAAUCUUCAACCGAAGAAGUCAAAUUUGGAAAUACAAGAUGGUAACAUUAUAUAAUAAUUGAGGGAGCACUAUUUGCUUCUCUUUCUGGGUACUUACUUCUUCAUCUGCAAUUCCAAAUAGUUGCUCUAGUUCAGAAGAUCCUUCGACUGUGAUUAUUUCUAGUUUUGGCAGAGCAACAUUAACCGGAAACAGACUUUUCAUUUUAUUUCAGUAACCAACACAAAAUCGAUUCUUUCAACAACCCCAACCCCCGCAUAAGCCAGAAUUUCAAUUUCAUUACUUUUGGAAAUGAGAAAAACAAGAAACUGAGUGCGUACUGGUAAUAUUCACAGUCAAACGUAUUGCAUAUUUCAUCUGAUGGUAAAGGUUGUUGCAUCAUAUUUGAUAAACAAAGAGGAGAUAUUCGGGAUUUUUUUUUCUUAAUUUUAAUUUGGGCAUUGAAAUUUUAUUAAAGAGUGUUAGGCCUUGAAAAAGGGGAAGAUGUUUUUGGCAUAGAAACUUCAAGGACUUUAUAUUUUUCUUCUUCCAAUUGCCAUUGGUUUGUAAGCAAAGAUGGGAGUAAGGAAUGCAGUUGCCAAAUCUAACAAGUUUGUUUCACAAUUGAGGGGCUAUGUGAUCUGAUGUCUCAGGGUGAAGAUUUGUUACUUUUUCUCCCAGCGUUUUACAAGCAUGGAAAACCAUGGGGAAAUUUGUUGAUGUCUGACUCAGACAUGCAAGUAGACAUUACAAAUCAACUAAACAUUGUAAAAGAGAAGCAAAGAUCAACCAGCUGCAAGUCAACUAAACACAGAGAAAAACCAUGUUGCUCACAGUCCUUUCCCAAGUCAGAGAGGUAUAACUCCUGCAAAGACAUAAAUAUAUCAUAAUUUCAUUAGAAAUUGAAUAGAUUACAAAGGGCCAAGACACUGUUGCCUAAAUAUUGGAAGAGAAAAAUGUCUUGAAUCCCAAAGAAAGAACAUAUAUCACUCUAUGCAUCUAAUUAAUCAUAACUCAAGCAAUUACUUUAAUAUACGAUUGAUUAUAAGUGUACGUUAAUAAACUCAGUUACAAAGAUCAAUUAACAUAUGACCUCAAAAGUACAAAGCUUUCAUAUUAUUUCAAAAAAAUUUAGAUAAGCUCAUAUCUUUUUAUUGUAUUUAAUUAAAUUUUUUAAAUAUUAAUUUUCAAUAUCCAAACCUUUUUUUUUUUGGAUAAAACCCAUAGAUGAUGGUUAAUCCUUUAACAUGCGAUAAUAACUCCGUCACUGCAUGCAAUUGAACUUCCUAAUAAAUUCACAACAAAAUGGAAGAUACUAGAAAAAUUGGAAAGGUAGAUAAUACACCUUAAAUCAGAAUUGAAAUAUUUUUAUAUGUGUAAAAAUUAGAGAUUUGGGCCAAAAGAAAAUUUUGUACCUUUUCUUUAAAGCUUAUUAAAGUAGAAAAAUAAACUAAAGUUUGGAGUAUAAAUAGUGUAUAGUAUAUAUACAGGUAAAUGUCAAUGUAAUAAAAGUUUUCGAUGGGAAAGAUGUUUUCUUAUGAAAUAAACAAUCAACUAAUAAGUAUCAAAAGAAACAUUGGAACAAAUGAAAAUAUAACAAAAUUACCUUCAACUGAGACUGCGACGUAAGUCUUUGUGGAUCUUGGGAAUGAGUCAUUAAUUGGGGUUGGGGACUAAUAUUGCAAGGGUCAAAAUCUUUCGAAGAUGGUAACAUGGCAGAAUAAUUUCUUGGACAAAAGCUCCUCAAGUUUUUCAAGUUUUCAAGUGUUUAAAUCUGUUAUUGAGGGAGCACAAUACGGUGCCCAUCCUUUUCUUUUCCCAUGUUGGAGACAUGCAUUAAUUGAGGGCAAUCAAUUAUCUGAACCGAUUCCAAGUACGGAAGUCCUUGAGCCAAAGUGAUUGGAAACACAUAUUUCAAGCUUUUGCAACUAGCUGUCUGAAGAGAUUUCAAUCUUGGCCAGCAUAGAGAAUAGCAAUCCAUAAUUGAAACUAUUUCAUCCCCAUUUUCUGUUUCUAUGAUUAAAUGCUCUAAAGAGUCGGUUUUCUCUAUAUGGAGUUCUUCCAGAUGCUUCAUAGAUUGAGUAAGGGCAGGCAAAAAGAGAUAUACAAGCUUAGAACAUGACCAAAUUCUCAUAGUCGUUAAGACUUCGGAGAUUAACAAAAUGGGCAGAUCCUCUCCAUAUGCAUCUCAAUUUUGGUAAUGACUCAAGCUCCAAACAAGUUAAAUUUGAUAGUACUUGUGCCUCAUUUUCCUCACAUAAAGAAUAACACAUAAAAGUUGAGAGAUAUAAAGCGUCUUCUUUGCAUCUUUGAUACUUAUGCAGUAUCGCCAGCCCCAACUAGGACACCAAUUGAAAUACUUGUUACGCUCUAUUUCUUCUUCCAAACUCUGAGCUUCUCCCAAUUCUAUCUCUGCCUUUGUUAGCCACUCCUUAACGUCCUUCUUAAUUACCUCAGUUUGCCUUACAGCCUCAUCGACAUCAUCUUGCACCUGAUCUUUUUUCGAUUGAAGUGCUUUUCGCUGCUUCUUGAAAUCUUCAACAAUUUUGGCAAAACAGAAAAAGAAAGUGAGAUAAGGUCAUGCUUAUUCUUUUGCCAGAUUCCCUACAGCAUGUAAAACUGCGGAUGGCAAUUGUAUUCAGCCUGCAACAACAUUGCCCGUAGACUAGAAAACUCAAUAUCACAGAGAAGGAAGGAAAGAUAUGGGAUGAAACAAGAAAGGGAACCAAAAUAAAAAAACAAAAAAGAGAUGAAGGAACCUGACCCUCUCAAAGAAAUAAAAACCACAACAUUGUACACCAGCCAAUGAAAACCCACAACCUUAAAACAUGUCGUAUCAAAGCAACACCUUAAGUGCCCUUGAAGAGUGGACCAGUUUCAAGCCACAGUAGAGCAACCACACCUCACUGCAAAAUACAAUAAAAAUAAAACACAUUAAGCACAACGUAUAUAAUGUCAGAAAAUGAUAAUGGCAGAUGUAGCGAGCAUAGACAAACUAGUCAUUUCAUUUGUUUUUUAUUAACCUUCCAUGCAAUUAAAGUAACAAAGGGUGGUCAAACAGAUUCAGCAUGCUUGCAUUCUUUCUGCUUUUGCUAAGAGCCAGGAAUAAUUAUGAAAAUAUGUAUAAUUCGUAAAAUCAUGUUUACCUGCUGUGGUUGUUGGUAAGCUUAUGGUUGCUGGUAAUUCCCAUAUCCAAGAUAGCCCCCAUAGGACAUGUUAGGAUCUUGGGGAGGAGGUGCAUAUCCAUAUGCUUCAAAUCCUUGAGCAUAUCCAUAAUAUCCACCAUUCCACUAGGCCUGAUCUGGUUGAGCCUGAAACUCCAACAGAUUUCCCUCUUAGUUUGUAGAAAUAUAUAUAGCAAGGUUUUAAUUACAAAAUACCAUGAUUUUAAAUACAAAACCUGAUUGCUUGAAGGACUACAUCCCCAUGAAAGUCAAAUGUUUCUUCCUCCUAAUACGAUGCCAUUCAAAACUGAUAAAGCUUGCUCUGCGUUAGUCCUGAAGUAUAUCAAAUUGCAGAAUAAAUUAAUAUAAUAUAAUAAUAUUUCACGCACUUAAAUAUUCGGAAGAAUUUACAGCUUACCUAUUAGCAUAUUGAACAAAACCACAACGCUUGUUAGCAGGAAUUUUUACAUGAACUACCUCACCCAGCUGGCUAAAUAUUUGUUUUAAUUGGUCUUCAGAAACACUAGGAUCCAAACCACCAACAAAUAUCUGCAUUUAAGCAUGUAAGAUUUCAGUCGACCACACCAUGAAAUAAGCAUAUUAAUAUAUAUAAAAAAGCUACCCACUGUGGUAUUAUUUGGAUCAUUCUCGCCAGGAUUUCCUUGAGUAUUUGGGUAAGAAGCUGCAAAUGACAAAUACAUGUAAACUACAAUAGAAUGAGAUGAUAAAAAAGCUCAUUGCUUCUCAAAACUCAAAUUAAACAUUGUUGAAAAAACCAAGCAUUAAGAUAAUACACUUAAAAAUACUAAAAAAGUUCUAAAAAAUUCCCUCCAUGGCAUGCAAAAGAACAAAAAUGUAAAACCACCAGCUAUACAUCACUCAAAAGUUACAAUUACAACCAUAAACCUCUUUGGGUUACAUCAAGGCUUACCAUUACCAGGGAAAGUGAAAAGUAUCAGACUAAAUGGAUUUCAAUAGUAGCCCAUAAAGAAAUCAUUAAUUACAUUACACUCAGGGAAUCGGUAAAGGUCCUAUUCUUUCAUUAACCUUUUACAAUAGCAUGAAAAGGAGAAAAAGGAAAAUUGAAAUCAGAGACUUAACUUUUCUCUGCACUUGACAUGAAAUAUUUCCUUUUGCUCCUUUCUUUCACACAUUUUUUGUAAGGGGGAGGGGAGGGAGGGAGGAAGCUGUCAGGGCUUAAAUAGAAUGAUUCACAACUUCAACUUCAAAGAUUAUGUUUUAGUAGAAAGAACCUAUCUGCUAAACUAAUUUCAGAAAUGCUUUAACAUUCUCUGCGUAGACAGAAACCUAUAGAGAUUAUAUUAGCAGCCACAAAAUGAUAAGAUGAAGAACAUAUUUAGAAAAUAAGGAAAUUCCUCUAAACUGAAGUGAUGCAAAACCUCAAAUGACAAGUAGAAAAAGAAUGCCUUGAAAAUGCAAUAUUAAUACUGGUAGAUUCAUACACAGCUAGGCCAUCACUAUUUAGGUUUUGGCAAUAAAGCAUGCACGAGUGAUCCACUUCCAUUGAGGUUAAAUCCAUUAACUGAAAAUGCCUUUAACUACAAGUCCCAGGUUUCUUUCCUGACUCAAUUUGUCCUCAUUUGUAACAGAGCAAUAGAAUGAGGACAAAGAAGUUACUAUAACGUUUAAAAGAAGCACAGAUAUAAAAUGCAAUAGAACAAAAAUUGCCCCAAGGCUCAAUAACAGAAUGGUGCAUGAUAACAUCCAUACCAACUUUACCCAUGGCUGCUUCACCUAGUUUUGAGCAUUACAGCUUGAAUUUAAAGGAAACAAAGAGAAGAGUGUAAACAUAUGCAAGUAUCAAAAGGGAACUUAUCUACGACGAACUUAGAAAAAAAAGGUUUCUGGAGUGGUAAAAGUAUCUAAAAAAAGAUUCAAAGGAAACAUGUUGGGAAAACUGAAACAACUUGUACUUGACUGGAAUACUUGAUAAGGAACUAGAAAAGUAAUUUACGAAUGUAGCACAAAUACUGCCACGAGAAAAUGAGGCUUACGAUAUAAACAAAGUAACUGACCUAAAAUGGGGCCACGCAUUAAAGUGGGAUCAUUUCAGCUGAUACCAGUUCCAGGCUCCCCAAAAUGAGAGCCUUUUUGGUGUCCUGCUUUAAGACAACAUGAGUUUUAAAUAAGUUUGUGAACGUUUUAAUAUAAUUAAACGUGCCCAAGUUUGCAAAGGCAAACUGAAAGGAAAUGACUUUGUAUAAAUUCUGCCGAUCUUCAAGUGCAUAACUGAAAGAAUUCAAAUUUUAAGGACACUGUAACAACUAACAAGUAACAACCUCGACUCAGAAAAUUAAAACCCAAAAACAAAAAUAGAAUAACCAACAAGCAUUCAACUUGUCAAGUCAAAGUUCUCUAAGAUAAAUCAUGGCAGAUAAAAACUAUAAAAAAACCAAGCAACCUUCAUGUUAGUUUGCCAAGAUCUAUUGAUGAGCAUGAAAAAUGCUCUGUAGAAAAGAGUAAAACCAGAAAACUAGAAGAAGAGAAAAACUGAUCAGGAAAUUGGAAGAAGAAAAACUAACUUCUCAUCGAGUCAAGAGUCUGUUACACCUAUUUAUACACAAGUCAUGCUGACAUCAAAGAAAGCCAAUCCUAAUUACAAAAUAAUUAAAUAUAUAAUCAGAUAUCUAUUUACACUUGGACACGUGUAUGUAUUUAACACUUCAUAUGAAAAUCAAGAUAAAUAAUGAAUUUAACAUAACCCGUUUGCUUAUUCCUAAUCAGCUUAGCUGAAGCCACCUAAACUAUCCCAAAAAAAUUAAACUUCCUUUAAUUACUUUUUACUGAUUUUAUUACUUAAGUAGUUAAGUUUAAAAGGAAAAGAAAGGAAAUUCAUUUAAAUAACAAAAGGGAAUAAUAUUUUGAUUUAUUAAAAUGUAUAUAAAACUGUGAAUUUUAUUGGACUAUAUUUGCUCCGUUUAAUUAAAUUUUAUUAUAUUUUUUUACUAUUUUACUAUUUACUUAGGCACUCUUAAAUCUUUUUUUUUUCUAAAAGCCCCUAAUUUUUUUUUCUAAAAUAAUAUAAUUAACUAAUUAAUUACCUCUCCAGUGUGAGCGAAGAUGUUGAUGAGGUAAUUCUCAUCCAUCCACUGCUAAAGAUCACCGAUCUAGAAGGAUCGAAUCUCACUGGAGCCGCAACGGCUGAAUCGGUGGAGUACUGCUGCAUCUGACCUAGCGGAGGAACGGGUUGUGGAGCCCAGUCGGAAGGUGGAGGAACCGGCUGACCCGCCUGUUGCUGCUGUUGUUGUUGUUGCAUCAUCAUCCACGGCUGCUAUUGCGGUUGCUGCUGGUACUGCUGGGUUUGAGACUGAUCAGCUGCCAUGGACUGCGGUGGAGCUACACCUCCUGCUGGGGGUUGUUGCAUCAUACUCGAUAGAUAGAUAGAUAGGGAAGAGAAUCGGGAGAUCUCAGAGAGGAGAGGAAACCCAAGUGGGGAAUUGAAAUUUUAUAAAGAGAGGAUUUUGUUUUAUUGACCAGAGGAUGCUUGUCGGGGUAACACGUGGAGAAUAGGAAUUACGUGGCAGUAAUGGGCUUUUGAUAGGGUAAAUCGAGUAUUCGGCUUGGUAUGGGCUAGAUUGGGCUGAGUUUGGGCUAAAAUUCUUUUUCUUUGUUAAUAAAAAACGUUUCUUAAGGAUGUAAUAAAAAAAGUUUUAAAAAAGAAUUUUUAUAGACAAUUGAAAUUUGGUGUUAAUAAGCAUAGCAAAAUUUUUUGAAAAUUAAGUAAUUAAAUGGAAUUGAAAUUUGAAAAUUAUUAAUAUAUUUUUAUGGUAUAAAAAUUAAUUAUUAUUUUAUUUUAUUCCCUUUAUAAAUUUUAUGACUUAUAAUUAUGAUGAUUUAGUAGAUGUCUGAUAAAUUAUUUCUUAAUCUAUUAAAUAGGAAAAUUUUUUUAUCAUUUCCCUUCGUCUCAUUAUCUUUGUUCUUUAUUGAUUUUUUUGUUAAAUAAACUCUGACUUUGAUCAUUAUUUUUAAAAACAUUGUAAAGUUAUAAAAUUUUGAAUUUUAAACAUUUAAAAUUUUUUUUUGAAUUUUUAAUUUUAUAUAGUAGUCGUUUAAUAUGGUAAGAAAAGUACAACAUGGUAAGAAAAGAAAUUAAAUUGAACUUAAUAAUUCUAAGUGCAUGCAGAAAUGGUCCAAUCCCUUUUUAUAAUUUUUAUUGUAAGCAUUACUUGGUAAAAUUUUCUUCUAUCAAUGAGUAAUUACUUCAUUUUAAAUGCUUUUUGCGAACUUGUUGCCUGGACUUUACUACCAUGGCCAGAUCUUAUAGGUUGGAGUACUAAUCAAACUCUCAAUAUUUCAAUAAAUCACUUAAAACCUUCAUAAAAUAAAAAUCUACUUGGCUUGUAUAGGGAAAUUAAAGUUUAAUUUCUGACGCAGGAGCGUCAAUGAUUGUAUUUUAUUAAAUUUAGUUUUUGCUAAUUUAGUUGAUUUAUGAUUUAUUUUCUUUAUUUUAUUUAAAUUAGGAUUCUUUUCUUAUUUUUAUUUUAAUACUUUUAAGAAUUAGUAUUUGAUUAGGAUAGUUAUGUUCUAUUUAGGAAUAGAACACCUAUUUUAUUUAAAUCUCUUAUUAAUUAUUCUAAUUGUAUUAGAUAACUAGGAGUAGAGUUUUAUUAGGAUUUGGGCCUAUAAUACUAUAAAUAGGACCCUUAGGCUUAGUUACGAGACAUUCAGAAUUGAGAGUUAAUAAAUAAUAUUUUCUUAAGCAGGAGUGCUUAUUUCUCUAGACUCUUUUAAAGGGUAAGAGGUUUUAAUAUCUUUGGCCUAGCCAACCAAAGUGGGAUUUUGGCUAUUUUUCACCUUAGUGGGGUUUUCAACCUUGCCAAGAUUGGUGAUUCACCUUAGUGGGGUUUUCAACCUCGCCACGAUUGGUGUUUUUCAUAACGCCUAGGUGUCUUUACAACGCCCCGGCGUCAAUUUCCCAUGUCUUGAUUUAAAAUAUAGAAAUAAGGAUAAGAAAUAGAAGAAUUUUAAGCUUAUUCUUCUACUAAUUGUGGAUGCAGUGAGAAACAUAACAUUGAUUAGGUAAAUUACUGAAAGCAAGUGAUCCCUUUGCUUGACAACUCUGUGAAGCCAACAUCUUGAUCAACCCAAAGCACAAUAAUUUCAACUACCUGUUUUUUUUUUUUUUUUGUUUAUGUAAAUAAUAAAGAUUAGCACAAGUAAACUACUAAAACUUGAUUAGGACUAGGCAAACAAGUGAGAGAAAUGAAAAUGGAAAGUAGCCUUUGAUCUACCUGUGUUUAGUUAAUGGCUCCAACAUACUCAUUGAUGUUUAAACAUGCCUUUGCAACUUCCCCUGCAAUCAUCUCAUAGUUCUUCCUUGUAAGGUGGUAGCUCACAAAGGCUCUUGCUCCGUCGAAUGGUCUUGGCGUCUUGCUUAACUGGUUGCGGUGUCUUUUUUAAACAAUUGAAACAAGGGAAUGUAAAACAAAAGUAUUAAUGUUACAUGUUAUGAGGGUAAAAGAAAAAAUAGACAUAUUAUAAUUUAUAAGCAUUUUAGGCCACAAAUUCAUUAAAAGUAAUGGAAUCAUUCACUAAAAGUGAUAUUCUAGAUCAAUCUUUUGGUUGCAGUGUACUACUCAAUCAUUUAAGUAAUUUUAGUAAAGACUUUGAAAAAUUAUGUAGUAUAAUAUUAUUAAAGACUAUAAUUGCCUUUGCACAUACUAAAUAAAAUCUUAAACUUAAUUCACAAAUCAACAAUAAAAACUCUUAAUCAUCAAUAACGAUUAUGUUGGGAGGAUAAGGAGAAUGAAUAAGGUAUUUUUAGUUUUUGUGAAUAAUAUUCUUGCAAAAGUCCAUGAAGAUGGCUUCAAAGGAUUUGGGAUCAAUUUGGAAAGGUUGUCAAUACAUUGUAGGGAGAAAUAAAAGCAAAUACAGCUAGAGGUAUCCUUUUAUCAUAUUUGGAUAUUUUAAUAAGGAUAGAAGAGCAGUCCAAAAUUUAAAUGGAGUCUGGCUUCUUAACCAAAGGCUAGAGGUCAAUAUAGCCAGCUAAGGAAGCCAUGAUUCAUUUUGAAGAAGGAAGCAAAAAGGAAGCUUCUGAUGCACCUAGUGUUAACCACAUUAGGAACGGAACCUGCAGUGGGAUUUUGAGACAACUUGGUUUUAUUCAUUAAGCCAUCUUAUGCUCUGUUAUUGAAAGGUGCUUUUGAAAGAGGUGGAGCUUCAAAUGAAGAGAGAGGAGAUGAUUUUCAAUGUCUGAAAAGCAUGGAAAACAUGCUUUGGUUGAAGAUAAGUGCUGUGGUAACAACGUAAUGUAAUUCAGAUCUAGCAAAUUUAAUGGAAUUAUUUAAAAUAGAGGGCAUUUCAGGGCUGCUUAUGAGGAGUUUGUCUCUCAAAGAAUUUCUGCUAACCUUUGAGGAUAAGGAGCUGUUGGAAGAGCUCAAGGAUAAAGGUUGGGAUUGGCUUAACAAAUGGUUUGCUAAGGUGGAAACAUAGUUAGAGAAUUUUUCAUCAAAACUCCUUAACAAGUGGGUGACUGCACAGGAUAUCCUUUUGAUGUGUGAAAUAGGCAUAUUAUAAAUUAUAAGCAUUUUAGGCCAAAUUCAUUAAAAGUGAUAUUCUAGACUAAGUUUUGGUUGUAGUGUCAUUCUCAAUCAUUUAAGUAAUUUAAAGACUUUGAAGAUCAUGCCUUAAAAUAGACAAGACUAAAGUUUUCAGGGUGUAUACCUCUGUUUUGGCGUGCACAUAUUCCUUUGUAUCUAUGAAGAAACCUGUAGUCAUCUUGGGACAUCCUUCUACUCUCAAAUCAUCCAAAGCUGAUAAUACAAAGUGAUAUCCCCUUGGGCAGAAGUCAACGAGGCUUGGCAGUUCUUCAAGUGAUAAACUGUAUAGUUGAUCAAACUUUAUCUCCUUUUCAGUUGUUGCUUCUGCUUCAUCUUCAAGUUCAAAUACUUGCUCCAAUUUAGAGUUCCCUUUAACCCAUAACGUAACAAGAUUUGGAAGACAACGAGCAGAUCCAAGAGGAAAGAGUCGUUUCAACUUUUUGCAAUAUAGAACAAAAAUUUUGGUCAAAUUAGGAAAGCUUAUAGGUUGGAGAUCACCAUCUGAUGAUGAACAAACUUGAUCCUCAGCAAUGAUUUGGUCCAAUUCAUCACAAUUUUGUAUUUCUAGAUUGACCAACCGUGAUAAACUUUGAGCAGUUGUAGGUGAAAAUAUGUAUCUUAGCCUCUUACAAUCAAUCACCUUCAAAAUUGUAAGGUUCUCAAGAGUUACAACCUGAGCGACAUCCUUCCAUAUAAUCCACUUUUCAGAUAAAUCCUCCAGGAGGAGUUUCUUUAUACGCCCAUGAACUUGGAAUACUUCUUCAUGACUCCCAACUGCUAUAUAUUCUUGAUUGCAGUUGGCUGAAAUACGCAAUUGAAAGCUAUUCACCAACAUAGAGAGAUAUAAUUCCUGCAAAUACAGACACCACUAAAUGUCACUGAAUAAGUUCCUUUUCUAUUAGAUUGGGAAUAGAUGAGCAAAUAUUACUCAUAAUUUUUUAGAUGCCGAUUCACAAAAAAUCCCUACAUUUUUAAUGAUAGGACAUUUAUAUGUUUCAAAAUUUAAAUCCAAAAUUUUCAUGAAAUGCUCUGAAAGUGGAAUCCAAAAACAUCUACCCUCUUUCAAGUUUUCUCUGUUAAUUUUUAAAAUAAAACCAUUUAUGGUUUUCCUUGUCUUGUGUUUUUUUCUUUGUCAUUUUUUCUUUAAGCAUGUUGUUUUGAAAAGUAUAGAUAAAGUGGUAAAGUGUUAAUUUUUUUUAAUUUACCUAAAUUACAUAAAAAAAACAUAAAAGAAACGAACCCCCCGGAAAGCCUAACUUUCUCAAUCUGUUUCUCUUGUCUGCAACAGAAAGUAGAAACACUUUGAAUAAAAAAAAAGGGAACUCAUGGCCAAGAAGAAAAAGAAAACUUAAAUUGAAGAAGAAAGAGAAAAUUCGAAUCAAAGAAAGCAAGAGAAACUAGAAUCGAAGAAGAAAAAGGAAGCUUGAACAAGAAAAAAAGCAAGAUUUGUCGUCGUGAAGAAAAAAUAUGAUGAACCUCAAUUCAGAAACAAGGACAAGGAAACCCCAAAGAUCCCCACAAACAAAUUAAAAUUUGUUUUUCAAAAUAAAUAGUAUAAAAUUUUUGUGCUGCAAUUUUAAAAUAUAAUUGGAUUAGUUUGUGAGUGUUGAAAAAAAGAUUUAGCUCAAAGGCAAAAUCCAAAACCAUAAUUGAAGGAAAAGUGUAUAAAGAAAUACCUCUAGCUGAAUUUGCUCAUUAACUUCUUUUUGAAUAGUGAAAUUUCUCAAUUUAGGACAGUUGCAAACUUUCAACUUCUCCAAGGAUGGUGAUGAGAUGAGAAAGUUUUCCGAACUCAAAUUUAUCAAGUUUACAAGUUGAAAAUCUUGUAGGCAAGGGAGUCCAAUGGCACGAUGAGUUGGCCUUUUCCAUAUGCUCUUCAAUGUUGGUAAUGACUGUAGCUCCAACCUUCUUAAAUUUGAGAGUGGUACUGCCUGAUUUACCUCACAUAAAAAAAAUAUAAAAUUUAUUAAUUAAUAAAUAAUGAAAAUGAAUUGUUUAUACUUGAUCUUAAUUACUGAGAAGAAAUACAUUUUGUUAAAAAAAAGUAGAAAGAAGUAUUAAAAGUUAAUAAUUUAGAAAGAUUAGAUAGUAAUUAUUUAUAUAUUUGAUAAUUCAAAAAAAAUCAUUAGAAAAACAAUAUACGAGACCAUUAUUAAAGGAAAAAUGAAGAGAUAAGAGGUACCUCUAGCUCAGCCAUCUCUUUGUCAAAAGCAAAGACUUGCUUUAAUUUUUUGCAUUAAGAUAUCUCAAGUGUUUCUAGAUGCAACAGACUUUGAACAAGGUAAGGUGAGAAGAUAGAUUUUAGUUUAUCACAACCAUCAAUUGUUACUUCCUUCAGACUUUGUAGCCUUACAUGAUGAGUUGGCCCUUUCCAUAUGCUCUCCAAUGCUGGUAAUGACUGCAAUUCCAACCUUCUUAAAUUUGAGAGUGGUACUGCCUGUUUUACCUCAUAUAAAGAAAAAUAUAAAAUUUAUUAAUUAAUAAAUAAUGAAAAUGAGUUCUUUAUACUUGAUCUUAAUUACUGAGAAGAAAUACAUUUUGUUAAAAAAAAGUAUUAAAAGUUAAUAAUUUAGAAAGAUUAGAUAGUAAUUAUUUAUAUAUUUGAUAAUUCAAAAAAAUCAUUAGAAAAACAAUAUACGAGAGCAUUAUUAAAAGAAAAAUGGAGAGAUAAGAGGUACCUCUAGCUCAGCCAUUUCUUUGUCAAAAGCAAAGACUUGCUCUAAUUUUUCGCAUUUAGAUAUCUCAAGUGUUUCUAGAUGCAACAGACUUUGAACAAGGUAAGGUGAGAAGAUAGAUUUCAGUUUAUCACAACCAUCAAUUGUUACUUCCUUCAGACUUUGUAGCCUUACAUGAUGAGUUGGCCCUUUCCAUAUGCUCUCCAAUGCUGGUAAUGACUGUAGUUUCAACCUUCUUAAAUUUGAGAGUGGUACUACCUGUUUUACCUCAUAUAAAGAAAAAUAUAAAAUUUAUUAAUUAAUAAAUAAUGAAAAUGAGUUCUUUAUACUUGAUCUUAAUUACUGAGUAGAAAUGCAUUUUGUUAAAAAAAAGUAAAAAGAAGUAUUAAAAGUUAAUAAUUUAGAAAGAUUAGAUAUUAAUUAUUUAUAUAUUUGAUAAUUCAAAAAAAUCAUUAGAAAAACAAUAUACGAGAGCAUUAUUAAAAGAAAAAUGGAGAGAUAAGAGGUACCUCUGGGUCAGCCAUUUCUUUGUCAAAAGCAAAGACUUGCUCUAAUUUUUCGCAUUUAGAUAUCUCGAGUGUUUCUAGAUGCAACAGACUUUGAACAAGGUAAGGUGAGAAGACAGAUUUUAGUUUAUCACAACUAUCAAUUGUUACUUCCUUCAGACUUUGUAACCUUAUAUGAUGAGUUGGCUCUUUCCAUAUAUUCUCUAAUGCUGGCAACGACAUCAACUUCAAACUUCUUAAAUUGGAGAUUGUGCGCGUCAGACUUUCUUCCUUUCCAAAAAGCCAAUUCAUUUGAAACACUGAUUGCAACUGCUUACAAUCGACAAUGCUCAAUGUUUCUAACUUUUCUAAGAAGCUAGUCGGUGAUUGACCAUGGCACAACUCUUUCAAAGAAGUCAUGAAUCUAAUGUGUAAGUUCACCAAAUUAGAGAAUGCAGUGGUUGGACUUUGUUCUCGUGUUGUAUCGAUCAAGCAUUCCAGAUGAGUGCAAAAUGAAAGCUCAAGAGAAGUUAAUUCCUUUAGUCCACGCUGAUCUACAUUUGGGACAAUAUUUUUGUAUUCCAUUGGGACUUGGGACAGAGUAAGAUCUUCAACAUUGCAAAACAGCUCCUUAAAUGCAUUUAAUGAGGAUGAGAAAUGCUUAAUUCUCAAGGUUCUCAAGCGCAGCCCCGCCAAAUCUUGAAUAUAGUCAUUUACAGCUAUAUUGUAGCUUUGUAGUUUAGGGAACACAAAGUUUUCCUGAGAACAUUGAUGAGUAGAAACUUUAAGUGUUAAUGCAGUCAAACCAAACAAAGAAUUCAG